rnacentral:lncRNA from 1 species
UUUUUUUUUUUAUUCUGUCACGAUAUUGAUAUGAUAUGCUUCUCUAUUUUUCUUCGAUUCUUUCUUAUUCAUUUUUAUAUGUUUAUAUAUAGGCACGUACCCUUUAAGUUACAUUAUCGGUUUCAAAUACAAGGGAGAAUAGCUCGUCGAAAAAAUACAAGGGAAAAUAUGAUUCCUUUGAAUUCAAGAUAUAGAGAUAUUCUCUUUUGAGACCGGUGAUUAAUUGGAGAGAGUCAAUUGUAUCAUCCCCUUUAGGAUUUAGUUUUGGUAAUAUAUGUGUCAAGAAUUGAAUUGAAGAAAACUUAACACAAAACCUUGUGGAGCGCCCAAUACUAUUUGGUCUAGUAGCAUAAGUCUCCCCUUUUAAAUGGGAGGUCGAUCUACUUCAUAUCAAUUUUGAGAAUAUAAUGGAGGCGAAAGAAGCAACUAAGGAGAUGGUCGGUUGCGAAAGAGUUGGAAACUAGACUCGUUAUAAUAUCUGAGUUGUUUAACCCUUGUGAAGGCUUUCUGAUAUAUUUCUUGAUAACAAAGACUUUAUCUGCUUCAUAUCAACUUUUGAAAGUAUAGUGGAGUUUAAAGAAGCAACAAAAGAGAUGGUCGGUUGCGAAGGAGCUGGAAAACUGAGUUUGAUACACCUCGGUAUUCACUUACCGGACCAAAACAUGUUAUCAGUCAUAUCCGGAACAAAACAAAAACAAAAACAAAAAGUGAAAUAGUCUCCUAGUUUUAUCAGGAUCAAUAUAAAGUAUAGCUUGUGCGCUAUUGGGGUAAUGAAUUAAGAACCCAGUACGUCGUCAUGAAGUGUAUGAGUGCUAAAACAAACUGCAGUGCUUUAGUAUCCCACUCGUCCCUUGCAGCAGUUUCACCAGCCUCUGAUCAUAAUCUUCACUCAAAAAGAUCCAAGAUGUCAUCUAGUUUCAACACAACUACCAUUGGUGAUCUUCCCGACUUCUUAUUGGUUGAAAUUCUUUGUAGACUUCCUUGCACGAAAUCUGUUAUACAAUGCAAGCUUGUGUCCAAACAUUGGUGCACCCUCCUUUCCGAUCUCUAUUUUGUUGGCCGGUUUUUGUGUCUCUAAAGUAAGACCCCCAUCAAACAAACUCUGAUCAACCGUGUCGGAGGAGAGGAAUUCCUUACUAUCUCCAUGCCGCUAACUCGGCUGUUUGAAAGACUCAUAAGUUCCCAUUCAUUGAGAGAAGAGCCAUAUGUGGUAGGUACCUAUAAGCCCCGUUCACCUGGUCAGUAGGUGACCAUGGAUUAUCUGGUCAACUGCUGUCAGAUCUGCUCGAUUUUGAUCCAAGGGUUGAGACAUAUCAGAAGCUUUAUUAUUUCUGCCAUUGGAUCAAAAUCGAGCAGAUCUGACGGCAGUUAGACCAGAUAAUCCCUGGUCACCUACUGACCAGGUGAACGGGGCUGAGGUACCUAUAAUGACUUGGUAAUGUGCUCUGCGACUGAUUACAAUCAACGUGAUUACUAUAUCUGCAAUCCUUACACAAUCCAAUGGGUUCCAUUUCCUCCCACACCUCAAGACUACAGCUCUGUACCGGUAGGAUUCAUCUGCGAUUUUCAUUAUUAUAGCUAUAACCACAAGAAAGACGAUAGGAAAGAACUGUAAGACUAAAUUUGACUUUAUCAUUAGUUUACAUCUAGUAUCGACAACUCACCAAUAUAUGCAGAACAAGUAAUUAGAGUUUAUGAGACUUUAAUCCGGAAUGCUUUAUUUAUGGUAUAUCAGAGUAAAUAAAGGAAGAAUUUAAUAUGACUUGAUUUGUCAAACUUGUCUAAUAAGUUAUGCAACUACAAUUAGGGAUUUGGACUUAAAAUGUUACCUUUAUGGGAGGUUACAAAAUAUCCAAUUCUCUAUAAAAGUUUAGGUCCCUGCACUCUCUCACUCUCUCGGAAAUAUGGUUCUUGCCCCAUUCAAAGAAUACUACAAUGAGAUGCAGUGUAGAAGACUUAUUCCGAAUCGAUUGGCCAUCAAGUCUAAAAGGUUCAUGAUCUAUUUAUCGUUUACUUCUUGUUCUUACUUUUAUACGAUUAUAUCUAUAUUAUUUGUGAAACGAUCUAAUGGCUUUCAAGUUUUAGGUUACAAGAACAUAAUGAUAUUGUCCAGUUUAAUGCUGAUCGAGUAUAAGUGCAAGGUUGUACGAAUCCUUCCUUUCCAAAACAAGGGAGAAAAUGGUCCCUUUGAAUUCAAGGUAGAGAUCUUCUCUUUUGAGACUGGUGAUUGGAGAGAGUCAACUGUAUCAUCUCCUCUAGGAUUUAAUUUUAGAAAUAUCUGUACCUUUCGUAGCUUUACAUACAACGGGAUGUUGUGUUGGCCGGGUUCUUAUAUGAUCUAUGGCGAUGAUAACUUUAUUAUUGGAUUGGAUCCGUUCAUGAUAAAGGACAGUAACAUGACAAGUAGUAGUACUAAUAUAGAUGAUAUUACUGAUCAUGACGAAUGUUGUUUCUUUCGAUUAGUUGUAGAGAAUGAAAUGUGGCAUUCUAUGAGAUUCGUAGAUGUAUCGCAAGGCUGUCCGCGUAUGUGCGACUUGUCUGACCAUAGCUUGUACAUUUGGGAGAUGAAAGAAGCAAGAAAUCAGAUGGUCGGUUGCAACGGAGCUGGAAAACUGUGUCCGAUACACCCCAACAUUCACUCACUGGAUCCUAACAUGUUUCGGGAUGAAGAUGUAGAUAUCGGUCGUAUCAUGCUGCUACAUUUCGACCCAAAUAUUAAGGACGUCUUGUAUCUUCGCGUCAAAUAAAACAUUACCAAGUGCAACAAUUAUGAAUGUAGUUGGAACUUCAUCGCAUCAAUUGAGCUGCCAUGGCCAACACCAGUUCCUAGGCUGCAUUCUGGAGGAAGUAACAAGUAGCUAAGCUAGUAGUAUUGCACUACUUGUAUUUGCGGCAUAUCUAAUUGUCCUUUUUAGUUUACCUGGUCUUCUUUAUAUUAAAUUUUGGAGCCAUAUAUUGCAAGUUUGCAACUAGAAAGAUAUAGAGAUCGAUUAUUGCUCUUCUCAGUUUGUGUAGCAGUAUAGCACCAAACUAAGCCCUAUAGCAACCUCAACCGUGGUGGUACCGUUGGCCUAUAUGCUACACUGAUAUUUAGUCUUAACAAGUUUCAAAUUUCAUGAAAAUGUUGUAUAACGAAGCCAGGAAUACUUCCGAGUUAUCGUAUCAUUAGGAAGAACUGCACAAUGCCCUUAAUGCUAAAGCUGAUCCUCAUUUUCAUUUCAUAAUGUUAAACAUUCACAACAGGUAUGUCAAGAAGACUCAACUUCACUUGCCAAUAAGAAUCAACUCUAAAUCCUAAUCAACCAUUUACCCUGAUGACACUACUCUCUCCCUAACAUUUCACAAACUUAAAUAUGUGAUACAAAAGAGAAAAACAGAUCAUACACUCAAACCUACCGCUUUUAGGAGUACAAAUUCGCCAACUUGGGGUUGUUUCCCUUUCCUAGUUGCUAUCACUGUUGUUGUUGGUGUUGUUGUUGUUGACGCUGCGAUGAUGAUUACUAGCAUUCCCAUUCCUCCUACCAUGCGAAAUUUCCAUCUGGGUCUUCAUGAAAUACUGCAUCCUCUGCAGCUCCAACUCUUUAGCGAACUUCAUCCUCUGCUUCUCCAUCUCCACCACCUGCUGCAGCUUCGCAGUCUCGGCAUGCUCAUAAGCCUCCCCGAACCUCAGCAUUGCCUGCGUCAACUCCCUCAUUGAAUCCCCCCACCCACUUUUCUUCUCUCCACCCCCCUCUCUUCCUCUAAUCUCUUUCCCAACCCCUCCUCUUCCUGCCCCUCCCCUCCCCAAACCAGCAUUCGCCCCCCGCCCCGCCGUCCUCGGCCUCUUCGUCUCAAAAACAGGCGGCGGCGGAAAGCUAUCAGCCGACACAGGAGAGACCUCUCUCGAAGAAUCCGAGUCCCACUCCACCGGAGGAGGACCCCUCUUCUUGGCAUUAGCCUUCUGCAGUUGCUGCAGGUGCUUGGGCACAAACUGCCCAACUCCUCCUCCUCCGCCGCGGACCCCGACCGGCAUUCCCAUCGGAAUCUUGUGGUUCUUGGACAUGAACCCCGGCGGCACCGGACCGCCGCCGGAGCCAGGAGUCCCCUUCCCGGUGGCGCCAAUCAAAUGAUCAAGCUUGGCGAAAAAGGGCCACUUGCUGGGGCCGGCUCCGGCGAGCAUCUUGGACUUCUCAAGCUUGUACUUCUUCUUGACGGUGUCGAUUCUAUUCUUGCACUGGAUAUCAGUCUUUGGGGUUUUGCCGUAGUCCUCUCUGCUGCUCACAAUGUCCGCCACCUCCUUCCAGUGCUUCUGCUUCAGGUUCCCUCUGCUCAGCUCCAAGUACCUCUCCCCCCACGCCUCUAUCAGCACCGCCGUCGCGCUCUCGCUCCAGCAGUCCUCUCUCCCGCCGCCGCUGCUCCGAACCCCCUGCGACGGCAGCGCCAGGGUCAGCUGGUUGUUCCUCGGCGGCGAGUGUUGCGCCGACGCCGGUAUCUGAGACGGUACCGCCACCGUCACCGUUAUCCGGCCGUUCGUCGUCGGCGACGUCGGAGAUCCGCUCCCCGCCGACGCCGGUGAAUGCAUCUCGUCGUCCUCCUCCAUCGAUCUGAAACAGACUCCGAGAUCUGAGCGAAACCGAAUCGAAAAACAAGUAAACAAGAUCGGAGUAGAGCUAGGGUUUAGGUGAAUCGGCGACUAAGCCGAGGAGGGAGGGUGAUUUAUAGGCGGAGGGAUUUGACCGGAGAGCCGUGUGCGAAUCGGCGAUCUGAGAAUUUAGGUGUUUUUGUGGCUGGGAGGUGCUUUUAGUGUGAGAGAGAGAGAGAGAGAGAGAAGAAAGAGAGAGAGGGUUUAGGUUGACCGGCUUUACGGAAAACGUUACCGUUUUGUAGUAUUUGUUGGGUUGCGUUUUCUCGGUUGACGGAAAAAACUGAGGAGAGAGGAGAGAAGGGGUUUGACGGCGUCCGUCGAGGGGUGGGGGGUUCGGAGGGGACACGUGGAGGAAAGGGAGGGACGUGAUUGAUAGGAGAGGUCGUCCCCGGCGUCAUGGAGGGGGCUGCCGGCUUGGUAGGUUACGUAGGGGAAUUGGCUGUAUAUGUGGUAAUGGCAUUCCCGUGGGGGGAAGGAAUUGACGUAAUAGUCCAUCGUGGUUCGGGGCAUUUACCGUUCUGGUCACCACUACCCAAUCGGCUCUCUGGUGCCUCACUCGCUCUGGGGGCUAUAGCUUUUUCUAGUUCCCGCCUUCACUAGUUGCCAACCCAAUGCUGGUGUUGCUUUCAAAUUCUUUUUUGGCUAAUAUUGCAAAAAAGAAAAAAGGUGAAAUAGUCUUAGGUGACAUGGUACAUUUUAUUUCUUCUGAUUGUUGGACCAUUUAGCAUCCUGCUUUUUAUCUUUUGUACCACGUUUUUUUUAAUGUUAAAGAUGGGGUUUACACCAAAAAUAUUAGGGGAAGUUUUCUCAUUCGAUUACGAUAGAUGCGUGUGAAAAUGCAGCCUAGAUACUUGAUCAAUGCACGACGAUGUCGUUGUACUCAACUUAGAAGAGUAUUGUUCUUCGUAGCCGGUUUUUGCGACUGCAACGAGAAGUAAUAAGAUUAUUUCAGAAAGUAUAGACUAAAUGUGACGUUUAAGACCCAAUGAACAAGCAACACGAAUUGUUGGAGCAUUGAGUCAUGAGAAGGAAACAUGAUCAACUUCACAUUAUCUCCAUAUAACAAAAANNNNNNNNNNNNNNNNNNNNUACCUACUCUCCUCUCUCUCUCUCUCUCUCUCUCUCUCUCUCUCUCUCUCUCUCUCUCUCUCUCGUGGGUUAGGGUUUGAAAAGUGGAAGUACAUGGUUGUUCUGGUGACUAGUCGCCGUAAUCUCUUGGAGGUGGGAUUGAGCGGGGCUGCAUCUCCCGUGGAAGUCGUGGUUAUUGGUAGGUGAAAAUUUGUGUCGAAUGGAAGACUAAAUGGGGGACCGGGCUCGAAACAUUUUGGGGGUAGAAGCAGAGGUGUCAAUCAAGUGAUAAUUUUUAUGAUGUUUAUAUAAAUAUCACAUUUUAGUGAUUAUCGUCAAACAUAACGUGUGAGUUUAUGUGUAUAUACACACUCUAAACAUAGAAGUCGCUUAAAUCAGUGAUUAGAGUUAAAGUUUUAAUCCAUUGAAACAAAACAAAAACAAAAAACAAAAACUAAACUAUGUCUUCGUUCUUCAUAUGACCAUACAGGGGUUAAUUCAUUAAUUCCCCCGAGAACAAUUUUCCGGUCAAUAUUCCACCAAGAAAAUUGUAACUCCAUAUUCCAUGGUUUGGAGAUCGGAGCCCCCGAGGGUACAAAAGUCAUUUGGAUGAGAUAGAAGGGGCAAGUCCUAGAGUACCAAGUCUUGGUCUUAACUGAAAUAAUUGAAAACUCUGAAUUUUGGAUCGUCGGGUUGUUCACGGCAGCUCACCCUCGUUGGAGCAUCCUACGUGUCAAUAAGUCACCGGGUCACCUUUUGGUGGAGUAAUCGGCGGUGACCGACACCUGUCGGCGAGGCCACAAAAACCGAAGGGGCAGGCUUAGGUCUUAGGUGGGUGGCUGGAGAGUGGUCCGACAGCUUUUGCAAUUACCGGAACACUUUCAGGCGCCAUUUGUGCCUCAAGAACUGGGCUUAUCAUACCAUUGGAGGAGUAGACCUUUGCUUUAUGCGGCCCAAGCAAGUUUAUGUCUCGAGUUUUGGCCAGUAUUGGAUGCUAACCUUGGUCAUUCAAACUUAGGCUAACUAACCAACAGUGAGCGACUAGCUGAUAUUGUAUAGAGUUGAGUUUACGGGAAUGAUAUGAAAUGUUUUAAUAGAACAAGCUUUGAUUUUUUAACAAACGGAAUACAUGUAAAACUGAAAUUUGGCUGUCACAAUCCCAUUCCAAACAUGUCAUUAUCCGUUGUAAUCUGUAAGCAAAUACUGAAUAUGGUGAUGGAAGAUUCAACAAAGUAUGGAACAAAAAUUUCAUGCAGUUUUCAUCAACUGAAUAUGGCAGUGUCUAAGACAAGAGCCUACCAGGGUAGAGACAUGCGGCAAUGUUUGAAGAGCUCCGUUUGCUACUUCAAAAUGUGUGUGCUGCUACUCCAUCUGAAGAAUUCUAAGUGGCUCUGGCAUGCUUGUCAACGGCAAAGUUCCGUGUGGCAGCGGGCAGUUCAAGGCAAAUUCCAUCGAGUUCAGGUGUGGCUAUCACUUGACAACCAAGACGGGACCUGCAAAAUGUCAUUUUAUAAGAAUGCGAACUAGUUUGAUACAAUUUCCCCUGCAGAUUAAUUCCUUGGUCUAGGGACUUACGUCUCUGUGAGGCCGAAUGCAAGGUCCAGCAUGUCAUUUUCCUCAUCAGUGGGAUCUUCCAGUUUGUUGUAGUACUCCAUAUCCUAGCCAAGAGUCUAGGAAGGUUAGCUGAAACUACAACUUGUAAUGGAAGUCUUUAAGGCAACUUUUACUGAAUACUGAGUAAACUUAGACUUCAAAUUACAUACUCUCACUAUCACAUGGCAUGUAGAACAAGCACAAGAUCCUUCACAUGCUCCUAAAAUCACAUUAAAACAAACUGGUCAGGUGGUACACUAUCAGAGAUAACCAACUGUUGAACUGCUACCUUCAAGUUCAAUAUCAUGUUCAUGAGCAGCUUCUAGUAUAGACAUUCCAACAGGAACCAUAACAUGCUUCUCCCUAUCGUUAUCAACAAAUAUUACAGAUAUUCUGCAGAAUCAAAAGGGAGUCUUCAGUAACACAGUUAUGGUGCAUCACAGCACCAGAAAGAGCUAGUGUAAAACAAAGUGUCAAUUAUCUCUCCAUAUCGUUAACUGGUGACUGAAGUAAUUUGCCAAGCUUUGUGCUAUAACUCCAAAACGGAUCCUUUCGAAAGAAAAAGCAACUUACUCUUCUACUGCUUGAUUGUUCCUUUCCUCAUGCGCAGUUGUUGUAGAGAAAGAAUGAGGCUUCUGAAAAGAAAAUGUGACUUGAAAAAUUCAGAGUCAGAUAGGAAACCAAACAGAGGUCAAUUCAGGACAAGCAAACUCGCGAGAAGCUAACCGAAGUACAGGAAAAAUAAUUGCAACUUGCAUGUACGUUCCCUGUCUUUGGUGAAAACGUCAAUGGACCUGCAAGAAAGUAUGCCGAUCAGUUCACAACAAGUUUAAAUAUUUUCAACUUCAGUUACUACUUCAAAUUAAACAAAAGGGUAAAAAUAAGUUGCCUGAAUCCAAAAUAAACCAAUUCCAGGUUCUAACUUCUAACCAUUUGCCAAGACAGACACACUACAUUAGACUAAACUUCUAUUAGUCCACUAUAUAAGUCAUGAAACAGAGUGACCAUUUCCUAUUCAAAGAUCUCAGUGCAAGGAAGGAAACAAUGAUUUCUUGGCUGGAGCCUGGAGGACAAUGGAUUCCAACAUGCCACUUCUGUUUUACAAAGGGAACACUUUUUAAAGCCCUAGUGUUUCAUUUUCACUAAAGAGUAAAGAUCAAUAUAUCAAACAAGUGCAUUCUUAUGCAUAAAGAUCAAUAUGAAAACUGAAACAAUUAAAAUGACUUGAAGUUAAAAAAAACGAACACAGCACAAGCUUAAUGUAAAUAGAGGGCUCAGGCAAAUUGGAAAAAAAUGAACCAACCAUGAAACACAAGUAUUCCAAACAGAAACCUUUUGUGAGAUACUUGAUCAUCUGCUUGCCGAGGCCCGAAAAUCUAGAAAAAAGCAUAGUUAACAGGAGUCACCCAGAACCUGAGAAACACAAACACAGAUAUUACUUCAUAGCGGCAUUAAUACAAACACUUGGGUUGGCGUCCCAAAAAGACACUGAACCUAAUACAUAAGCAACACAGCAUUAGUUUCACUUCGUGAACUGGAUGAAGCACUCAAACUCGAAGCCCAUUGAUUUACUGAAACGAAAUAAAACCAAGCCACCCACCUGUAUGAUCUACUUCGAAGCGUUUGUCUGUGCCUUGGACAAAAAGUUGAAGUUAUGGUGUACAAGACAAGUCUCGAACACCAGACAGUUAAGACGUUUAGGCGAAAGUUCUCACUAGGUUGAGCCGUCAAGUUUUUGCAGGCUUUUUAGUGAAUGUCGGAGAUGGGUCAGUUGGAUUAGCCCGGACCCGUAAAGUUAUUGGUACAUUUUGGUUAUUUUCACCGUAGGGUUUUUUUUUUUUUUUUUUUUUUUUUUGCUAUAAUGUUAACAAGGAAUCGUCCGAUACCGUUUGGUCUAAUGGCAUAAGUCUAUCCUAUAACAGACUCGUUGUAGCAUAUUAGUUGUUUAUUUGAUAAAAAAAAAUGUUAGCGAAGAAUCGUGUUACAUAUACAGACAUUUUUGCACUCGCAUCUAAAUUCCUUGUGAGAAGUCUUCCAACCAAGGUUCUAAAAAUCAGCCUACAUGGCCGAUUAGGCGGCGCCUAGGCGCUCGGAGCGACCAUGCCGACCCGAUUUUGCCCAAAUCGUUUACCUUAGGCGGUUGCCUAUGAGGGGCUUGGCAGUGCUAGGCGGGGUUGGGCAGUGCUAGGCAGAGCUGGGCGCUAAAAAAAUUAAAAACCGACUAGUGUCCUCUUAAUUGUAUUUAUAAUACCUAUUUUAAUUGUAUUUAUAGAAUUAUUUGUUAUUAAAAAAUAAAAUAAAUACAAAAAUACAAAUCCGAUUAAUCCCCGAUUAAUCUUUUGAGCGCUGUUUUAGAACCUUGCUUCCAAGCAUGAACACCAAUUAACAUAGUUGUUUGUUUUGUAGUACUCAUGAGUCAUGACAAGAUUUAGGAUAAUAAUCGAUAUAAAGAUAUAAGCUAAACAUCAAGAGCCAGUUGGAGAAGAAGGUGACUUAGUGGAGGAGCCAUAAGAUUAACUAGGAUUACAGUUAGCACUAAGCAUAAAUGGAUGCAGUACUCUCUCACUUCUGUAGUUUUAGCUAGUUAGCUAGCAUUGUACAGUUACCUAGAGAAUAAUAUCAAACACCAGAUCCUGUUUCUUCGUCUUCUUUCUAUUCUCUUCACCAUUAUUGAAAAUGUAGCAACAAGAAACGUAACAUAGGGAGUAUCAGAGUGUAAUCUCAACGUUGUGGCCGAAAUAAGCAAAAUAUGCCUUCGGCCAAAACAAGCAUACAGUAUCUAAUAUAGGCUUAUGCCCGCAACUGCUAACGCACCCAUCAUUACAGAGGUCGAUCGGGAUUGCAGUGUCAAUAAUAGAAUCAGCUUCAUUUGUUUAACUAAAAUGGCCAUGGCACGAUACAAAACUAAAGCUGCUGCUCUAAUCGGGAUUGCGGUGUUGGUUGUUUUUCCGAGCAUGGUGUUUGGAUCAGGAGUCAUAUGGGUUGUUGGAGGUGAAGAUGCUAAGUGGGAGUCUCCAGGUUUCGAUUACCAAGCUUGGUCUGAUAGCAUGAGCUUCUGGGCGGGAGAUGAAUUGGGUGAGUACUUGGAGCUUAAUAUAUAUCCACGCAUUCAUGUAUUUAAAAUGAAAUCAAGUCAUGAAAGUGAUGAAACUGACUUUUCCUUGGUGAAUUUCUUGCUUUUAGUUGUAACAAUAUCACUUGGAUCUUCAAUGUUGGAAUGUUGGUUAUAUAUGUGUUAAAGGCUUUAAGCUUUAUCAUGAUCAAGAUAUCAUGCAUAUAUAUAUAUAUAUACACAUAUAUAUAUAUAUAUAUAUAUAUAUAUAUAUAUGCAUGGAGUUGCUGGGAAGUUGUAGUCGACUGGGGUGAAACGUAACUUACUAACUUUGUGGGAUUUUUUUAUUUCCAGUUUUCAAGUACGACCCAUCUUCUUACAACGUCGUCGUAGCAGCUUCCCAGGACGAUUAUGAUCGAUGCAAUUUGGUUCCAAACCUUGGUGUGUAUUCGAGUGGCCAAGACGCAUUGAUCUUGACGAGUCCUGGCAACUACUAUUUCAUGUGUCAAGGAUUAUGUGAAAGCGGCAUGAAGUUUGUUGCUAGAGCCAAAGAAUGAAUGAGUGCAGUUUCCUAACUAUCUCCAUAUACAGUGUAGUUUGGACGACAUGCCUGAUCAUUACCCACCAAGAGAGUGUCUCUGAAUAAUCGCGUUUCGAUCAUAGUCAUUUAUACCAGUACUUGUGCUCGUUUUAGUCGUUUCUAAUCCGACUUUUACGACGUCAGGUUCUAAGUUACAGGUAGAUUAUUUUCACAAAUAUAAACGAGAACAUCUGAACACGCAUGUAUGUAGCUGGAUGGAAUGUGUCUGUGGUGGGUUUCUCCCCGAGGUUAAUAUGUGCGCUGGAUUUUAUAACCAUUGUGUUGUUGAUUCUAUGAUUUAUAUUCCUACUCAUUGCUCAUUGUUUAGCAGUGUUUUACUUUGGUCAUUGGCACAAAAAUAGCCCACCUCUGAGGGGUCGACAGAAAGAGCUAUUCAGAGAAUAUAUACAAACACCUGUUCUGAAUAACAAGACUCCCUAUUGUAUUCACAUAUUCAUAGAUACGGACUAGCUUUCAUUAAAAGCAAGAUUUCAUACACUCCGAAAUAUCAUAAACUUGAUCAACGAAGAAAUUCAAUUUAUUGUGACCAUGCAAAAGUGACUGUGACCGACUGAGCAAACAAUAGACGAAGUAGAUGAUGUGUUUCACCUCCUCCGCCACCUUCCACCAAAACAAUUGCCUCUACGGAAACGGCUUCCUCAAUCAUGAUUGAAACGCCCUCACUUUGUGCAUCCUAUAUGAGUCAUAUUGCAUACUCUAUUACAUGACAGACCAAUAUAGUACGCGAUAUGGCAAUUCAAUUGAUUCUACAUGUAUUAACAGAUUAUUGAAUUGAAAGCGCAGUUGAGAAAAACGCAGAAAAUGAGGAAUGUCUACGUCUUGUAUUCAAUUGAUAGAUCAUGAACAAAUCCAUUACAUCAUAUUUAUAGGGUAGAGAUUAGCAACAAAUGACCUAAGUACAUUUACAAGGUUAACACUACACAUCGACCAGCCGUGGCCGCAUUCCGCCACGACCACCACACAUUUUGGUCGACUAAUUAUUCGGUUCGACUUUGUUAACCCAAAUUCGUACAUUAUGAAGUUAUAUGCUCGAUUUAGUUCUGAGGUAAUUAUUCACACAAUAAAUAAGUGUUUUUCUUGUAGUACAGUACGUGAGAUGAGUUUAGAGAUUGACAAAAACCUCGGACAUAUCUACUUCUACUUGGCUGUAGAAUUUAAUCUCAACGUUAUGGCCAAAGUGAUAUCUAACCUACACAGUUAUUAUGCCUUCGGCCGAAACAAUAUAUAUUUACAACAUUGUAUCUACAUAUAUGUGCUUCGUGUUAAUGAGUUCAAUAGAAAUGGCCAUGGCACGAUGCAGUACUGCUGCUCUUUUCGUGAUUGUGUUUUCGGCUACUGCUCUUUCAAGCACGGUGUCCGGACAAGUAACAGGCGGAAGGCUUGUCGGAGGUGAGGCUGCUUGGAAUUCUCCGGCGUUUGAUUACCAAGCUUGGGCUGAUGGCAUAACUUUCCAUAUCGGAGAUGAAUUAAGUGAGUAAUCUUCCGCACACAACUUCAAUUUGCCUUGUAUAUGUCACUUCUUUGGAUUUUUUCUGUUCUUAGUUUCAUUUACGUUCCUUGGUAAAAUUUUCUUUUAUUGGUCUUCAAAUAUUCAAGCGAGUUAUGUAUCUACUAAAAAUGGCAUGCAUAUUCAGGGUUUUGGGUGUAUACCCUAAAAAAUUUUAGGCUGAUCGAUUUUUACUAUCCACGAGGUUUCUUCUUAACAUGGUUGCUUUUUUGUACACUGGUCGUUACUUUCAUUUGUUAUUGAAUAAAAAUUAUUUUUUCCCUAAGAAGUAUAACUGUGGUUAACAUUUUGGUUUUCCAGUUUUCCAGUACGACAUAGGGAUUCACAAUGUGGUUGUAGCUGAUUCUCCUGAAGCGUUUGAACAAUGUCGGAUAACCCCGAACUAUGGUGUAUAUGAUGGUGGAUUCGACAGAUUAGUCAUGAAUGAUCCCGGAACCUACUAUUUCAUGUGUGAAUAUAGUUGUCUGGACAAUAUGAAAUUUAAGGUCACUCCCAUCUAUUGAAAGCAAAGCUUCUAUAUGGCACCCUGUGGAGAGAAUACUUCUACUAUUCAAAAUAUAAGGAAUAACCGUCCGUUCUUACUAUCCAUAAUGAAAAAUGUCUCAUCCAAUAUUAAAUUUUGAAUGGAUAUGAGAAUACAAGACAACACAAGCUAGACCGAUCUGUAGGCUGCAUUUUGUGACGUUUGCUCAAGGACUAGUAAUUUGAUAAAUUGUUAGAUUUUUCUGAUUCUGCAAUUUUUGUUGGUGGCUUAGUUUCUAGAAGUCUUGCAACCACGACGGUGGCUUUGCUAAUGACGAUAACAACUACGUUGUCAAAACUGCUGAUGACUGUGGUUGCUUGUUCAUGCUGGGAUUAAUCUUUUAGGUUAGGCUUUGAAAAUCUAUGUUUCAGAUGGGCUUUUGAUCAUAAACCGAAUCUACAAAAGAAACUUUGAUCAAUACACCCAGUUAAUAACCUAAUAAUUAAAGCAUAUUAAUAAUGUAUCUGCUAUGCUCACUAUUCUUCUCCUGCCCAAUAGGUACGUGCGCAUAAGGUAGCAAUAAGCAAGCAAAUAGGUAACCUUAGUUUCCUCAAACUUCUUCUUCUCACCAUAAGAUGCUUAUUCUUGCCACCUGCAAGAAGUCCUCGCUUCUCCCUUCCUGGCUCCGGAGUUUCUCUAUUGGCCAAACUUAUCCUGGUAGGGGUUAAGUUCAGAUUACUCUUACUCACAUCGAGACUUAACCAAACUUUUUUAGGAGAGAUCAUAACUUCCUCCUCCUCAUGACCUCGUCUCUGGCCAAUGAUACUAGUCGUCUCCUCCCAUGCCUAUUGAACUGUAAACCACAUAAAGACAUAAACACAUUGUAUCAUGUUUCAACAAAACAAGAACAUAUAAACAUGUAUAAGGAUUUGAAGCACCAACCUUGGUUGUUCAUGUACAACGCCAUCAAGCUAGAGCAGAGGAAGUCUUCUGUGUAAUUCUCCAGAUUGUCUCUUCACAGUGAGUAUAAAACUUACAGACGUAGAAUGAACUUACACAUGGACCCCUUUAUAUAUUGACAAGUUCACUCUAGCUUACACAUGGACCCCUUUAUAUAUUGACAAGUUCACUUAGAGUCCCAUCUCACAAGGUCACUCUAAUAAACCAAUCAAUUACCUUAUGUGAUAACUAUAACAUAUAUUCUGUGUUAUCUCAAACUUCUUGUAUUUAUCUAAUCAGAUUACUAAGAUAAAUAUCCAAGUUAAGUAUUAUCGAUUAACCCAUUUACUUAUUUCACAAGAUGUUUAUAUAUGUUGGACUUUCAUAUAUGUGUUAUUCUUGAGUCCACAUUAGAUAUAACUCUAACAGUGCCGGCUCCGGCAACUCCCUCAGAAUGGCCUGCCUAGCUACGAGGGUGUACGUUGUUGUCCCGCUUCCCUUAAAACAAUAACCGGCAACAGAGAUGACCCACAACAGUUAAAGACCAAGUUUCCUAGCAAACACCCCCGUCGGAUCGAACAUUCUCAUGCACACAGAAGCUAGGGCUGGAGGAGGACGAGAAGACCCCAUAUAGAAAAUAAUGUUUAGUGAACAACACCCUUCUUUCGGGUUCGAUAUAGUGAACAACACCCUUCUCCCUUCAACCUCCUUCAGCUGCAGCGUACCAUCCAGUUGUUAAACGUUCCUGAGCAUACCCAUGAUGCUAAUAUGUUUCAUGAAUUCCCUUGCCGUCAAAAGACGACCCGGCAUAAAAACCUCGGCUUAUCUCAAGCCCUUACGGCCUUACCCUACAAAGGGCGCAUGCAACCUUUUUUUCGGCCCUCGGCCAGAGCCAAGGAUGAAGCCAGUCUCGCCGCCACCGCAUAAAUCGAAGUCGUAGUUGCGUUCUCAAAAACCUAAUGAAACCCUAACCCUAGAAAUAUACGGAGAGAACGGCUCUGCUUUUAUAGUUAGAAAUAAUUGCUCGUUAUAACCUAACGCAAUAAAACACAUGAGACUUGGCUUGUUCAAUUCACCAUUUGUUAUCUGUUAACCCGAUUAUGCAAUAAGCCUAUAAAGUUAUGCCCAUAAGACAGACUUGGAUUUUAUGAAAGUCAUCGACUUUGAGAAAUUAAACUUGUUUGAGGAUCUUGGUUGUGCUGCUCUAGAAUCACUUGGCAUGGAACAGAUUCAUUAAUUAAUAGUGGAUGCAUCUUUUUCAUGCUUGCACUAUGCCGCAGUUGAACUCAAGAGCGAUGGAAUUAAUUGAGGUUGUGGUCAUCAUAGAUUGAUAAACAAUUUUCUCGUGGUAUUGACUAUUGUAAAUAGUUUUCUACUGCUACUGCAAUUAGUUUAUGAAUGAUAAUAUAAUUGACAGAUUGAAACAACCCCAUAAUAGUACUGAAGUGUGUGUUUCUCUAGUAAUAUUAGUACGUGAGCUGAGUCUAGUGAGCGACAAGAACCUCGGACAUAUCAACUGGCGGUAGAAUUUAAUCUCAAUCUUAUGGCCAAAGCGUUAUUUAACCAUCAUAUUAUGCCUUCGGCCGAAACAAUAUAUAUGUAUGUGAAUCUACAUAUAUGUGCUUUGUGCUUGUGCCAUAAGUUAACGUACUGCUACAGCUAGUUUAUAUAUGUUCAGAGUUAAUUAAUUUGUUCAAUUUGAAAUGGCUAUGGCACGAUGCAGUAGUACUGCUGCUCUUAUCGUGAUAGCGUUUUCGGUCGUUUUUGCAAGCAUGGUGUCCGGACAAGAAACAGGCGGAAGGCUUGUCGGAGGUGAGGCUCAAUGGAAUUCCCCGGGAUUCGAUUACCGAGCUUGGGCUGAUGGGGAAAGGAUAGCUUUCCAUGUCGGAGAUGAGUUAAGUGAGUACUUUGAUCCUUAUAUAUAUAGUUUUCCAAAUUGGAUGAAACUUUGCAGGAAUGAUCUACACACUAUGUUCUAGACACGGAACGAUGGAGAUAUAAAAUGUGACAUAAAAGUGAAUGAAAUGAGGAGCACCACACUUUAAUUUCAAAGCGGUGUCCCGCUCUGAAAUGGAACUAUACAUGUGUAUAUAUAUCACUUUUUUGUGUUAUUAGUUGGUCUUUCUGUACAAAUUUCGGUUAAAUUUUCGUUUAUUGGUCCUCAGAUUUCAAGCAAGUUCUCUAAUGAAUUUUAGGUGCAUAUAUACUAAAAAUGGCAAGCAUAUUCGAUUUUUACCAACACUCGAGGUUCCUUAUCGUGGUUACUUUUUUACAUAAUUCAUUAAUAACGGAAGCUCUUCUAGUGAGGACCCUUAAGUUGAGGACUUUUCAGUUUAUGGUUUAAAAGACCCAAUUUUCGAUCACAUUUUGACAUCUUAUCGGUUCAGUUUUUAGGUUUAUAUGAGUAGAUCAUUUCUACAAAUUUUCACCCAAAUUGGUGUUCGUUAAAUAACAAAUUAGAUCAAAUUAAUAGACGAACCAAAUCUGUCAAAUGUAAACCGUUUAAAUUCAUAAUUGAUAAAUCACACUUAUGAAUGUCUUAACAAUUUUCAAUAUAACUGAAAAUUUAAAAAAAAUGAUAUACUCAUAAAUACCUAUAAACUGAACGGUCAAGAUGUAGAUAUAAGAUCGAAAUGUGGGAUAAGCUGAAAAGUCAUCACCAAGUCCUCAACUUAAGGGCCCUCACUAGAAGGGCUCCCCAUUAAUAAUUUCAAUUUGUUGUUCAAUUAAUAUAUUUUUGCAGAAGUAUAACUAUGAUUAACAUUUUGGUUUCCCAGUUUUCCAAUACAAUCAAGGAGAUCAAAAUGUGGUUGUAGCAGAUUCUCCUGAAUCGUUUGAUUAAUGUCAGAUGUCUCCAAACUUUGGCGUCUACGAUAGUGGCUACGACAAAUUGGUCUUGAAUGGACCCGAAACCUACUAUUUCAUGUGUUCAUAUAACUGUCAGAACAAUAUGAAAUUUUAUGUCACUGCCAUCUAUUGAAUGCAAACUUCUGUCUUCAUAAAAACUGUGGCACCUUGUGGAGAGAACAAUUCUACUUGUCCCUUAGUUUUGAAUCAAAGUAGGUCGCGACUGUUGUAUUUCUUUAAUAACCGUCCUCAUUAGUUUUUUUUAAUGCAAAUUUUCAAUUUAUUUUAAAUGAGACAACAAACAAAAGCUAGAGCAGUCAUUAUACGCUCUUCCGCUACCAUGUACAAAUAGACAAUAAGAAGUAGUAAGGAAUACUUACAAUGGAACGCAUGAUAGAAUUACUCACUAAUCGUAUCAUGCUCGCUUAUUCAAGCAAGCCUAUGACUAAGGAUACAUCAUAGGCAAAGGCUAUGACCUAGAAACAAACGAAAGCCUAGAGUUCAGGCCCAAAGAGAACCCAUACCCAACUAUUUUUGGCACCCAAAGUUGGACACCAUCUAUUCCCGAUUGUCGACGCCACAUUAUCUGACCACCGGCCUAAUCCCCACCGUAACACCAUCAUCAUCUUCUUGCCCACCAAAUCUCUAAUUUAACCAACAAGUAGUCAAACCCGAGUUCAGUCUGAUCUACCGUCAACUGCUCUACCCGACAAACACAGACGUCGGCACAAUGCUCUGCUCUCAGCUAAAACCAGACAAGGAUCAGCCUUGUUUCGACCGCCGUUGAAGCAGCUGACGACGAGCUAAGCCUCAAACUAUACCACCACGAUCAAAGACUCAAGUAGAGCCACCGUCGUCGCACUCCAACAAAUUGAUCAAAGAAACCUAGUCUGGCAAAGGAGAUCUCCAUCAAGAAGCCCGUUCAAAACAAGCCAACGUCACCUAAGAAGCCACUGGCGACCCUAACAAAAUAACAUGGUUAAGAGCCGACCUCUGUACCUCCAAAACCACGCAGAGAUCCACACCCGUACCCGCACCUUUGACGAUAUAGAAAUCCUGCCUCCGACCUAGGCAAAACAAAGUGCCACCGCCGCCUUUCUCGAUCAGGAGGCGAGCGAUUGGACCGCGCCCGUGCGUCCACGUGUCUCACCUAGGGGAAACCCUAGCGCAAACAAUCCUCAUUAGUUAUUACUAUACAUAUCAGAGUAAGUGUCAUCAUAUAUUAAUUAUGAAUUUAUGCGCCAUCGACUAAAUAAUCAACAUUAGUGUAAUUAGACUUAUCAUCAAUAGUUUCUCUUUACACAAUGUCUUACUUUAACAUCUGAUACCAUACCUUUCUCUCUAAAUUUUUGGUUUGAGAAUAUAAGGCUACAACAACUAGAUCAAUCUUUAGGCUGCAUUUUGUGACGUUUACUCAAGGACUCGAGAUUUUGAUAAAUUGAUAGAUUUUCGUGAUUCUACGAUUUUUGUUGGUGGCUACCCUACUAGAAGUGUUACUUGAUAGCAGUGGCUUGUUGUGUUUUGCAAAUGAUUGUAACAACUGCGGAAAUUGCUAAUGAUCGCAGUUGCUUGUAGUCCAAGACAUAUCAUGCUUUGGAUCCUUUUAGGUUAGGACUUAGAAAUCUACUACUUGGGUGAGCUCUUUAAUCACUCUAACUCUCAAAGCUUGCAACUCUCAAAUAUUCAGAACUCUUAAUUGAUCCACAGUCAUCACAUCGCACCUAAUACUAUGGCUUUAAGGUCCUAUUUAUAGACUCACAAUUAGUCCAGCUUACAAUAAGAUUAGAAUUAUUGCAGGAAUCCUUAACCUUUACUCCUAAGGAUAAACUUCAAAAAUCCUAGAUACACUAGAAUAACUUACCUAAAGCUUUCAGAAGUAAAUAAUCUAAAACAGACAAGAAAUUAGUUUUGAGUUGCAACCCUAACAACCACCGUCAGAACCUCCUUCGGUGUCUAGGCAACAGAGGCUUGACCCAUGCACGCCCAUCAGAGCCGCCAAGUAGAAGCCACAAGCCUCUCCUUUGGCUGGCAGUGAACCCUGCCAAUGCGCACGAGUCCCACAUCGAGGGGUACUGGCAUGAUUCCCAAAGGAAGCCUAUAUAUAUGACAAACCAAAUUACACCUUCUAAAAAGAUAAGUUCAGUUUUCACCUGACUCCCGUACUUUUACAAGUAGCGACACAUCGCUAACUGAAGUAGCGGAGAGCCAAAAACCAGGUCACCCCGGUUGCGAUCUCUAACCAGUUAUUACUUGUGCAUGUAUCGAUGAGAGGAACUCAGCUAGGAUUCUGACCAAGUACCUAGACCCCGAGACUCAGCAGGAAAACCAUAACUUAUGCAGAGUACCACAUCAGAAACAAUGAGAAAAGUUCUGCCUCAUCUUACCUAGGCUCAUUUAUAUAUUGUUAUUAAUAUAUACAACGCGUUUAAUCGGUAUAUGUAUUAAUUAGGAUUAAUUUCAGUUUACCCCUAUCAACUUUAGGUCGAUCAUCAUGUUAGUCCUUCUUCUUUCAAUUUCAUCAAAAACACCCCUCAACUCCUAAUUUCCAUCAGCUGCGCAUGUCCAAACCUCCAAUCUCCAUCAAAUUUCUCUGUCAAGUGAUGACUUGAUAUCAAGAAGAAAGAAAAAAGGAAAAAUAGACAAAUUGCAUUCAAUCCCACCAAAAUCACUAAGGUUAAGGGGUUGUGAUGGGAACGAAGAUGUGUAUCGAUAUGGGGGAAAAAUGGUCCGAAAUAUAACUUUCAGAAUUUGACUUUCUUCUUGAUAUCAAAUUAUGACAAAGUCAUGUCACAAAUUAGGGUGACCACUGGACUUUGAUUAUAUAGUCAUCAUGUUUCUGUUGAUUGAUACCCCAUAUUAGUGAUUAAGAAAUAAUGGAAAGACUAAUGGAGAUAAGGUUCAGGAUAUCUUAUCAAAUUCAAUGGUAUGAUGUAUAGUAUUUAAUUUCAAUAUACAAUGUAUUCAAUCGUCCAUGUGCUUUGACAAAUGUAAUCAGUUUUAUUACUUGAUGCUUUUGUUUGAAUGGGUAAACUGAUUAGUUAGUGCACUGGACUACUUCACUCAAUAUGCAUAAUUAUCUGAUCCAACAAUGCUUGAAAUGAAGCAGCUGGUGCUGGUUGAAAUUAUAUAUGAUGGAAGGCUUUGGAGGAGAAAUUUGGUGUGUCCAUUACAGAAGGAGGUGCUGAAAAUAUAUAUUGCAACAGUUCAAGAUGAUGUUUGUCUGAUUGAGAAAGUGAACUAAGCUUGAACUUUAUUGAAUGGCCUCUAAAUAUCUUCUGCUUCAAGUUUUGUUUUCUCAUUAUUUUCCCUUUCGGUUAUGUCCCAACUCCAACUCGUGAGAUCAUAUAUAUUAUUUUCCCUUUCUCUAAAUGUCAUUCAUAUGCAUCAUAUGCCCAUUUGUUAAUCAACUUCUGUUUUACAGAAAUGCAGCAACUUCUGAAUACAUCAAGAUGACGAUUAAUUAGUUCAAAUGAUAUAAAAGCUCAAGGAGUUUCAUUGAAGAAAGAGAGGGGGCAGGGGGCAUGUUCAUGUUCAAACACACACAAAACACAUCCAUAUGUACAAGAGAUCAACGCCACCAAAAUACAAAAGAAAAGCUUGGAAGACAACAGAUAGAAGUGAAAAAGAAGGCUACCAUCUCCUACUUCCUCCCUCUUCAUCUCCAAGAAGCUAGCUAGCAUCAUGCAUUGGUUCCAGGACGUAUUGUUCCUCGUCCGAACCACCUUAUUGUUAUAGAUACACAAACUAGAUCGAUCUCUCUAUAUAUUAUUUACAAUAAUAUACAUAUGCAUCAGUUCCCACAAAGGUUCUCUAUGUACAAUAGUCUGGAGUAGUACUUGCCGGCCGAUACUUAGAAGCAAAACACCGUCGACGUCAUCAUUCCUUCCUCAAUCUCUCUCAACGAUCCAAUGCAGUAAUCACCAUCCUGCAAUACACAUUGAACCAUAUUUGUCAAACAAUAUUGAUACUGGUUUUUAUUUAGUACUCCUAUUGAAUUAUCCUACUUGAGAGGCAUCCUACGGACAUUUUUAUUUUAUCGAACAGUCUCAUAUGUUAAACUUUCUUGACUCGUUACCUCGAUGAUAAUGAUAAAAGAGCAGACAUAUAAGUCUGUAUAAAUUAGAAAAUCAAUGUCAUUUUCAAAAGAUUAUCAUGCAUGCUUAUUAUAUACGGGUAUUGACUUGGUCAGCUUUUACUCUAAUGAUAAUUAAUUAUCUAAACCCUAGAUCUAUAUCAAUAGCUCAACCAAAUUAGAGAAUUCUAAUUUGUAAUAUGAAUUAUAUGAUAUGUAUUAUCCUUCUAGACACUAAAAAAGCAAACAACCAAUCAUAACCAGUCGGACUUCUAGGUUCGGCGCGUUGCAAUGCAUCAGUGGACGAUUUUCUCCUUGUUAGUUUCCUGAAGUUUCUUGUUGCUGUUCCCGCUGCAUGUAAAACCAGAAGGGCACAGAAGGAAAGUUAAAAUCAAAUACUUGAACUGGAUAGAAAGAAAACCAUGUUGAACUUGAUUCUGAUUGAGGGUUUAAGUAAUCCAUGAAAAAGUAAAUUAGUGUCAAAAUUUUCACGAAAACAAAGAGCGUAAGAUCUACAUGAUCUGAAACAAAUAAGAUCGAGCAUGAUAACAUGUUAAAGUUGACUUCAUGGAGUUGAUCUUACGUGAGACCGGCGUUCCCGGCGUGGUGGGAGACUCGGAGGGGGAGCCAGAAUCCACCGGAAAGUUUCCAAGGUUGGAAGAAUGAGUCCUAAGAAUAGUAAUGCUCCGAGUGACAACUGGCGCCUCAUCGGCAGCAACCAUAGGGGCCGAGGGCGGGUUGGAGAAGGUGUCGAACUUACGGAGCUUGCCGAGGCCGGACUCCGGUGCGGGGCCGGCGAGCGUUUCAUCCCAAAGCUUGUGAAGAAAACCCAUGAUUCUUUAACUAAUCUAUCUAUCUCUUGUAACAACCGAGGCAGCUAUAGCAGGCCGUACGAGUCGAUCACGUAACAAUGAACUACCCAAGCUUUACGACUGUUACAAAGAGAUUUUGGGAAGCGAAACAAAUGAGAGAAGAUAUGAGCGAAUACGCAGAAAGAAAGGUCUUUCUGGGAAGCCAAGGUGGUUGAGGGUUUUUUUAUAGACGGAGACGACGCUUUGUGGGAAGACGAAGAGGUGGUGAUGGCUUAAUAGAGCUAAAUUCAGCAAUGGAAGCUAACGGCUAACAUGGCUUCACUGCUUUGGAGCCAUCCAACUAAUUUUUACCUCUCUCUUUUUGGCAGUUUAUUUUGGGGUAAUUUGUAUUGUUACAUGUGAGCGGCAUGGAUAAAUUAGAAACUUCAUGACGGGGGCAUGAAGAAUUUCUAGUCCACUCAUAGACUUGUUUACUCCACCAUUAACCAAUAUAAUCGAUCCCAAACGUGUUACAAAUGGUAAUAAUCACCUUUAACGACUUACUAGAAUGUUCUUUAGGGUUAAUUUAAAGCACUAUUAGAGAUCAUCUUUGAAAAGAAAAGACAAAAGCUAGUUAGAUGCAUGUGGAAAUGCUAUCCACCUCUCCAUUUGUUAGAGGUUGGGGCUUCAACCCUUAAUGUGGUUAAAUUUUAAUAUUAUGAAUCAGUGGUGGAUCCAUGAUCUGAAAAUGGGUUGGGCUUCAAAUUUGGCCAAAGGUUAAAUUUUUUUUUAAAUACAACCAUGCAAAAUGGAAGAAUUCAAAUAGAUGUUAAUAAGUCUUAAAAAAAAAAUAGGCGUCAAUGAAAGUAGAAGAAAUUUCUAGAAAUCAAAGACAAAUUUAAAAACUCAACAAAAUUUUCCCCAAAAAUUUGGAUUUUUUGAGAUUUAAGAAGAAGAAGACUAGAAAACUAGAAGAAAGAGCGAUUGAUGAACUGAGGAACUAAAAAACUGAAGAAUAAAGACGUAAUCACGUAUAAAAAAGAGAGGAGAUGCACAGCUAGUCCGAAAGUUAGGUGGGCUUGAUUGAACAAAAAAAUAAUAUAUAUAAAAAUGAGGGAUUUAGAAAAUUUUCUACAAAUUUUUAGAAAAUUUGGUGAUCGUUAAUUCAUCAAAAUGAGGGAUUUAUUUUUAAUAAUCUUGAACGGUGUAGGUUUGACAUAAGUGUUAAGUUUUUUGUUUUAAUCUUAACCAUCUAAGCUCAUUAAAAAACAGAUUUAAUAGUGUAGACUUAUCCCUAAAAAUGACAAAAAAUAGAGAUCCUUCAUUGAAAGGGCCCUAUAUAUAUAUAUAUAUAUAUAUAUAUAUAUAAAGAACAUAAUAUACCUAAAAUUUUUUUUAACUCUAAAAAACUUGAUUGGGGUUGAGCUUUACCAACCCUUAUUUUGGCUCCGCCCUGAUUAUGAUCAGCUAUUCUCAUUUUUAGUCGUCUUCACAAAUCGUAAGUGAUGAGGGCUUCUUCUUUUUUUUCAUAAUUUUUAUAUAUAAUAUCUUGCUUUAGGAGACCGCCAUUGUUGUUCUCCUUAACCCAUCCUUAACCCAAGGAGCCAAAAAAUGUUUAUUAGUGCCUUCUGUUUCACUUGGAUUUUGACAUCGCAAAAGUGUAGGUGGAUCAGGGGCAGCUUAGCAGAAAAGUAGGAUACUCCAAAAGAGCGAGCCAAAUUUUCGGGAAAGCCCAGCCAGCCAGCCGCCCCGAUGUGCUGACUGGGACAUGAGUGUCGACAUGUGUACCCCCUUCAAUCCCAUGCCGCUGGAUAAGGUCGAAGAAGAAGAUAGCAGAUCCACCAAACACUACGACGACGUUGAUGUGUCCUGCAGGGCCCGCCACGUGUCACGUGAUAAGGAUCCUUCACCUCUCUUCUCUGGCCUUGUCCCUCCCGGAGCUCGGACGACCCCUGUCCCCUACUCAUGAAUACUCCGAUCCGAUGAGUCCGAUCAUCCCACAUGCAUAUUAUAUGAAGAGACUCUUAUAUGAAUGUUUGCCGUUCAGCUCAAACAUGUGGACAGCUAAACUCAACUAGUACAUUGAAAGCUAGGUAAGAAUGAUUGAAAACGUUGUUAAACAACCACAAGAGUUGCUCAUGGCCUAUCAUCAUUAUUGUGUCGAUAUUGUCCUGUCAACAAACUUAAAGCCGCAAUGGCACUACAUUUAUCUUCAUAUUGCAAUAAUCUGUCUGAAUCUGAAUGAUCCAAACUUGCUCACAUCAAUUAAGUUUUCCUCGUUUGAUUCGAUGGAUGGAAGUUGAUCUCUUCUAUUUGAUUCAAUGUGUGUUUAAGCCUUCUGAAGAUCCAACCCAGUUCACUGAGUUCAGUAUCAUGAGCUAGCAAGUUGCUUCAAAUAGUUAACCAGAUAACUCAAUUAAUUAGCCCAAAGUCAAUUUAAGUUCUCCCAUAAAAAUCAAUCUUUUUGUUUUUGUUCCUUUCUUCUGGGAUAAAAGAAAGAACCAUCAUUAUAUGGAGUUAGAUCUUGUGAUUAUAUUUUGCUUAUCGUGUUGGUGUCGAACUGGCACCCAACAAUAUGACCGCCCUUUGAUCUUUGGCUCUUUGCCACAAUUUUCUUUUAGAUGAUUAGAAGAUUAGUCCCCACAACAUAAAAGACCAAUAAUAGUAGUGUCUGCAACGACUGAAAUUGAUCAAUCAGCCAAGUACCUUAUGGCCUACGUUAGAAAUAAGUGCUCUCAAUAAUUCAGUAUAGUUAGGUUCAGCUAGUGCUAUAUAUGACAGUGAAAGAAAACAUCAUUCCAUUUCUAAAUAUGAACCAAACACCAAUAUGUAUCAACCUGUAAUGAUGUUUGACAUUUUGUUCUUUCUUCUUUGCUAUAUAUGGAUUAUAUAUAUGCUCCUAUGUUUCUGUAGGCGGGUAGUGGAUAGACUAAGACCACCACCAAGCCCACAUACCCAAUAGCAGCCGGGCAACCAAAGCCACAGGCCCAAGGGCUCAAGACAGAAAAUAGUCCAAACAGAUGAGGAACCUGAUGAUGUGCGCAGGAAGUAGGACUUAAAUGUGAAGGUAUCUACUGGACGGCGAGUAAGAGGAGCAUGGGAGGAUCGAUGAGCUAGUCCUCCUCCAAUUUUCCCCAAGUCGGGGGCUUAAGGCAAAAGAGGCGGCGAAGCUGGCGUUUACAGCGUCAAUUCAUGUCAUGGGAGAGGGUUGGGGUGAGACAUCGCCACAUCGGUGAUAGGAGAUGCGAUGGGGCGCACUAGGGUUUUAGAGAAAGCUCUCGCUAGGGUUUGCACGGAGGCAGUAGUUGAUAUUGCUUUCUUUGUUUUGGCACGGAUGAGUCUAUGAAUCUAAAUAACUUCUAAGAAUACCGUAUAAUCUUAAAAAAGAAAAAAAGAAAAGAGAAUUAAAUAAAAUAUAUUUCAACUUCCAUAGCUGUCAUUUAACAAAUGACACCCUUUAACAAAUUGAUCCUUUAUUUCAGUCUAAGAACCUAAAUAGCAUUUAGGUCAGUCACUUGAUUUAUUAGAGUUAAGAUUUCUGAUUUCGGAUAAGAGACAGCUUCUAUAACAGGCGGCUUCAGCCACAAUUACUCAAGUUUGACUGGAAGCUAAUUAGGUGACAUAUGUUCUAGCUAAAGAAGCCAAAUUAGCUAUUUAUUCUCAUGAUGCUUUUGAUGUUAUUUUCCCGUUUGUGGAUGUAUUGCUUUCGCAAAAUUGUAAUGAUUUUUAAUUAGGGACAAUGUCUGUUUAAUAAUUUUAUUCCCACUAACAAAAUCAGAUUUUAAAAUUCCCAAGAGCCAACUUAAACAGGAAAAAGACAAUUAUACCCUUCAUGAUUUAAAUAAAUUACAAUAGACCAUUAUAAGAAGGGAAAAAUUCCCUUCAAUCCUAAUUUUAGAGAUUUUUUUUCCAUUAACAAAACAAAAUUCUAAAAUUCCCACUAGCCAUACGAACUCUUAAGCUUUAUUCCCAGUAGCCAAAUAUUUCAGUUUUUCUCUAUUUUUCUUGACCAAACUGCCCCUCCUUCCGUCUGAUGUCUGAUGUCUUCGACUCUCCUCUCUCUCCAUAAACUCAGAUCUCCGUCGUCGAUCACACAUAUUCAACUCACUCUGGCCACUACAACAUCGCCGACGUCUGAAGCGGUCUCAUCUGUGGCUUCACGACCAUCACUAUCGACGACGACGACAGACCCGUUGGAAACCUCGAAGGUCAGAUCCAGGCCUCCGUUGAUGACCAAUCCUUUAGAAACCGCCAACAACGACGAGGUCAGGUCCAGAAAUAGUGCCUCUCAUCCAUCUCCGUUACCUCAAAGGUUGUCGUUGGCCUCGAAGUUGAGGAAAUCAUGGCAGACCUCUGCGGCGGCGACGGGGUUGGCGUUGAGGAGGUUGGGUUUAUGUGCUUUAUAAUAUAGUCUCAUAUUCAAAUCACAUACCUCGAAAGUUUGGGUAAAAUUCAUUGAUUUUCAAUUGAGAUUGAGAUAGGUUGAUGAUUCGACAUUGUCUUCAGUUUUUGAUUCAAUGCAUUGCCGCUGCUCUUUCUUGUUUAUCAUAAUUUAAUUUGGCUGUGUUGGUUUCUCUUUUUUAAUUUCAAACUUUUGGCUCAGCUAGCUCGAUCCAUAAGCUUCAAAGAUGAAGGAAUUUGGCACUUCUGCUUCUGGUUCAUGUGUAUCUAUUUACUCACACUUGUUUUUGUUUGUUAAUUUACUCUCUGGCAAUUCAAAAUCAACAAUCCCAAGUAUGCAUGAGAGUCUCUCAUAUGCAAAAGAAAUAUAUAAGAGAAAGAAGCUAGAUUUUACAAGCAGGGGAACACUACUGAUGGAUUAUUAUUAUGAAUUAUGGUGGAGAAUCAUUCAAUAUACAAUAUUGAUGGUGAUCUAAUGACAUAAUUCCAUUAAACAGGUGUUGGAUGGAUAUGGGUUAGCAAAGAAGUUGUACUUCAGCAGAGACAGAUUGAUGGGGUGCUUCUUUUGGUCAUUGGUAUAGUGUCUGAACCUCAUUUCAGUAAUUUUAGGAAAUUGAUGAUGUUUAUGAUAUUUAUGGUACUCUAGAUGAACUAGAGCUAUUCACAUAUGUUUGAAAUGAAUAAAUUAGCAUAAUAUGUUUCGUUUUAAUCAUUGUUAUUGGUGUUGAAAUGUGAUUAUAGGUAUUGCGAGGUUGAGGCUUUACUGCAGUGCUAUUGACUAUGUGGGUGAUGAAGUGAAUAUGCAAUUCCUUAAUGGAUGUUCUUUGUGACAAAGGAGGAAAUCUGUAUGGUUGGGGUAAUGAGGAUAAUAAUGAGGGUGAAACGGUAUUGUAAUUUUGUACAGUGAUUAAGGUAGGUCUUAGGUCUUUUGUAUUUUUGUAUGACUUGGCUCUAUUAUAAUGUAAUUUUCAUGUUGGGAUGAGAUCUAUUAAGAAGAAUAGAUGUUUAUUGCCCCUGAUAGACCCCUUAAUGCCUCCAAUAGACCCCCCGACACACCCCCUACUGCCCCUAAUAGGACCCCCCAACAAAUUCCCUACUACCCCUAGUAGGAGGUCCUACUGACCCCAAUAGGAGGUCAUAUACCCUUACUAACCCUAGUAAGAGGUCAUACUGCCCCCAGUAAGUGGUCUUACUCCCCCUAGUAGGAGGUCCUAGUGGAGGAAUAUUAUGCUCUUUGUGUAUGUCCUAUUGUCCUUCAAUUAGAGUGUCAAAAGUCACUUGCUUUCAUUCUUUUUGUGUAAAUUUGGAUAGAUGUAUACCUUAUAUCUUAAGUUCAAGGGUCCUACAGCAUUUGCUCAUUAGACCUCCUUUCAAAUUCUAAAAAUAACCUUAGGUUUGUUAUUCAUAUAUAUUUCAAUAAUUUACUCAUUAUACCUCUUAUUCGCUCUCUAGACCUCCCACACUUUAAUUUUUUUUUCUUUUUUGCAUGAAAACUUCUAUUUCAGACUUUGAUUGCUUGAUUUCUUUUUUCUUCUUCUUCUUUUUUCAUGAAAACCUCUUCUGCAACCUCAAUUCUUUGUUGUUGUUGUUGUUUUUUUUUUUUUUUGCAUAGAAUGUCAUUAACCUAUAUUAUUUGAUCAAGUUGUAAGAACGAUUUUUCAAUGACAACAAUUUAAAAAAAUUUAAAUCAUGAAUUGUUUUCAUAAUCAAUUGCAAAACAGCAAAGUGGUAUUUGUGACCGAACAUAUAGUAAGUUAGUAACUACAAAAGUAAGAAAAUAGGUAUACAUGAAGCAAAUCUGAUGAAAUAUUAAAGCAAACUCUUUCUCUUGUAGAAUAACGAUGACCUAUUCAGAUUAAUGUUUCCAAAAAAAGUUAAAAACCUAGAAACCUUUGACCUAGAAGAAAACCCUAAGAAGGCCAAUUGUGUCUUCAUCAAUGGAGAUUCUUCCAUUUGGUGUAGUAGUUCUUUGCAAUUGAGCAACGGUUGCACUUAAGUUUAGGGUUUAUAGACUCCUCACAUUUUGUAUCGUUAACUUGAAAAAAAAAAAAAUGGAAGAAUACUAAUCUUUUUUUUUUUUUUUUGUGAAAUUCAAUGUCUAUUAUUGUCAUUUUGUAUGAGGUUAUAUUUGUAAUCCAAUAAGUCAAAACAUGUGGAGGUACACUGAGCAAAUCUAGAGGUCCCAAUAGCCGCACUCAACUAUUAAAUAUGGCAUUCCAUCAUAAGAAAAAAAACUCCAGCCAAAGAAUUGUGACUAAAUGCAGUUGUCAUAGUAUCAAAAACCUAACUAAUCAUCAAUUAAACUCAACAAUCACAACCAAAACUCAACAAAUACAUGACUCAAUUUAAACAGUCCUACAUGGAUGCAAUAAAGAAAUGAUUUAGUUAUACCAAUCACAACCAAAAUAUCCACAUAAAGAUUCCAAGUUAAGAUCUGUUUGCACCUAAAUUUAGCAUUCCGUAGAGAUUGCCAAAUUGGUUUGCUAGUUUGAGAUUAGAGGGGAAUGGUUUUGGUCACUCGACCGAGAGAAGUGAAGUUUGGCCGUUCGGCUGAGAUUGUAGUUUGACCGUUCGGCCGAGAGUGGUAUUUCGGUCGAGAGUGAUGGUAUUUCAGCCAUUCGGCCGAGAUUGAUAGUUCGGCCGAGGGUAUGGAGUUAAGGAUUACGGCCGGGACGAGGGAAAUAAAUUGAGAAGAACGAUGAGCCAAAAGACUGAGCUAACACGCCAAUAUUCAAAAUGUUACUAAAGUGUAUUUCGAUCAUUUGGCUGAGAAUUAGGGUGUUUUAGCGUUACGAGAAAAUAUGGUCGGACUAAUGUAUACAACAUGCCAAAUCCAAUAGCUAUGAAAAGUCGACCAAGCCCAUGCAACGAUCUCAGCCAUGAAUUCAUUUAGGAAGGAGAGUCUCAACAAGGAGGCAAUCAGGUCAAGGUUUUCAAGCAAUAUGCAUCAUAGACAUCAGUCAAAUCAGGACAUUCAUGUGCGAUUCGACCCAAGAAAGAAAAUAGGAUAUCCAAGAGAUUUCAUGACGUAGAGAAACAUACUAGUUAGGGUUUCUGACUUGUAUAUAUAGAACCUUAUAGAUCAUUUGUAAAAGGUCCCCGACCAACACAAACAACACUUCAAUACAAUCCCAAACACUUCAAAUUCUCUACGAAUUCUCUACAAUAUCAAUCUUUUUAUUCAUGUUCUAGCAUAGUUCUCUUCGUCUUUUUAUUCGCUUUCUUUACAUUCCGCACUUCACUUUCAUGCAAUUUCUUCCCCGUCUUUAAAUUCAUGCACUUAAAUUUCUUGCAAUUAUUUCAUGCAAUUUAAAUUUUUGUUUUUAGAUUCUUGUUCUUUUACUUUUUGCACUUUACUUUUCGCAAAUCUUUAUUAGAAAACAAAAAAAAAUAGAGUCAUUACCGGUGAAAACGCCGAAAGUCCUUGCAACAAAGGCAAGAGAACCCAAAGGCCGAGACGGUUCCUUUCUCGGCCUACAAUCACUUGAAAGAAGUCAGAUCAGGCGCAAAAUUAAUCAAAACCUCGCCUGGCCAUUUCGGCCGUGAGUUGGCACGCCCGCACAACAGAAAGACAUUUGUAGCCAAGGAUCUCGGCCUCGUUUCGGCCGAGACCAUUUUUGAGCAAACAAGAUCUGACAAUCUGAGGAUAAUACUUGGUGAAUGGGUGAAAAGACAGAGCUCCACUUCCAAUUAUGAAGCUACUUCAACAGAAUGAAAGAAGAAUUGCCAAGCCUUUCUUCUCCAUGCUAUCCAAAUAUCCAAUACUUCAUUGAGUGCUUAACAUAAGCCAAAAACCUGCAGAUACAUGUAGCCAUAGGAAGACUUGAUUAUAAAAAAUUUGAAAUUCAGGAGCAAGCAACCAAGAUUUCAACAGAGAUGUUGAGAGGAGAGAGAAAAAGCACCUCAGGGUAAGGAGGGAGGUAUGGGGUUUCUUGACCUUUUCAAUCGCCAUGAAAUUUGCAGAAGAAGGCAAUCCAAAUGGGCGACAAAAAAAAUGUUGUGAUAUCGGCCAAUUAUGUAUGUCAAGGAACCCCAAAAGAACACAGCAAACCAAGAGAAACAACCACAAAGAUAAGACACAAAGAACACAGAUUUAAGGUGGUUCAGCAAAACCUUUGCUUACAUCCACCGGCAGAAAACACUUCCACUAUAUUAAUAAUGGGUACACCAGAAAGAAUAAGAAAACAAAGACUCUCUCACUUCUCUUCCUAUCUCUCUCCUCUCUGCCCUCUCUCACCCUCUAACCGAGAAUGGAACACACUUUGGUCUUCGUCUCUGCGAUACAAGACCUAGAACUAAACCUCUCCUUAUAUAGCCAUAAGGAUCUUUAGAUCUCUUCACCAAAUAGGAAUCCUAUUCCUAUUAGUGGUAGGCAAUAAUGCCUCCUUCCUUCUCCGUAAUCAACAAGAUUACAGGUACACCAUCAUCAAUAAGGAUUUACUUUCCUUAUUGGAACAUCAUACUCUAAGACGAAACAUCUUACGAAAAACACAUGGGCUGGAAACCCAACAAUCUCCCCCUCCAGACCAUGAGGGAGGAACACCGGCGCGACUCCAUUACCAGGAGUCCGCCCAAGCUGACUUGAUGCAGAAUUACGUGGUUGGAGCGUGCAGCUCCCCCUGAUCGAACAACUCAUCACCAUGUCCCCAGUGGUGGAACAACUCUUGACCAUCUUCUUCCUAGUCAGAACAACCAUUGGAAAAGGAAAUUUGGGACAUCUUUUUCAGAACGCCUUUCUUCCUUAUAUGGCCAUCACUCUGGUGCCAUACGCCCGAAGAAUUAUCACCCAUUGCACUCAAAGUCAUCUUUGUACACCAAGCUAUGUGUCUUGUACAAGGAACAACACAGACCUCCUCUAGCAACCUCCAACGACCCAUUCAUAAGCUUCCACUUUCCAUCACCAAUAUACUGGUGAAAACCUUGUCUGUCAAGAGCACUUGCAGACAAUAUGUUGACACGCAAAUCAGAAACGUGCCUACAUCCUUCAAUGUCAUAUGGUAACCAAGAUCAUUCUCAAUGCAAAUGUCUCCCAUUCCCGAAAUCUUGGACCAGCCUCUAUUACCCAUCUUCAAUAUCCCAAAGUUGCUUGCUUCGUAUGUGGUAAAGAGCUCCAAGUUGGAAGUAACAUGACAACUUGCACCGAUAUCCACAAACCAAUCAUGACCUUUGUCACCAACAUACAGACAUUCUUGAACAGUGAGAAGCUCCCCGGAGACAGUAGCAGUAAAGCCAUUAUCUUCAUCAUCUUGGUAGUUGCCCUUCUUUUUGUCUUGUUUCCACUUUCGACACAUCCGCUUUAUGUGGCCCUUCUCGCCACAGUAGUGACAUGUGCCACUAAACCUUAGACCUGAAUUCUUGUCUCUACCCUUUACAGCAAGAGCUCUUCUGUGCCCAUCGUCUAUGCCAACAACUUUUCUCCUUGUUUCUUCGUUAAGCAUGUUGUUCUUAACAGUAUCCAUAGACAAUACACCAUCAGACGCAGAAUUAGUCAAGGUCACCACAAAAGUCNNNNNNNNNNNNNNNNNNNNCUAGUAUCUCAUCGCCAAUCUUCAUACCCAUUGUCGCCAACUGAUUGGUCACAUUCUGGAAAUCAUUCAAGUGUACAGCAACACUUUUAUCCUCAUUAAACUUCAUGUUGAUCAUCUCUUUGAAAAGGAAAGCUCUCCUCGCAGCGGUCUUCUUCUCAAAGAGGGAUUCCAAUUUCUUCCAGAGUUCUUCCGCAUCAGUUUCUUCCGACACAUGGUGAAAGACAGAAUCAUCUACCCAUUGUCUUAUCGUGCCAACAGUUUUCCGGUGCAACUUUCGCCACUUGUCAUCCGCCAUAUCUACAGGCUUGCCAGCCACACCUUCAAUAGGCUCAUGCAUAUCCUUACAAUAAAGGAUAUCCUCCAUUCUUGGCUUCCACGUCACCCAAUUCAUGUGGGUGAGUUUGAUCAUUGUGCCUUUGUCUUCACUCAUCUUGACAACACCAAACCUGCCGAAUCAAACCUUGGAUCUACAGACUAACCCCGCUCUGAUACCACUGUUGUGAUAUCGGCCAAUUAUGUAUGUCAAGGAACCCCAAAAGAACACAGCAAACCAAGAGAAACAACCACAAAGAUAAGACAAAAAGAACACAGAUUUAAGGUGGUUCAGCAAAACCUUUGCCUACAUCCACCGGCAGAAAACACUUCCACUAUAUUAAUAAUGGGUACACCAGAAAGAAUAAGAAAACAAGGACUCUCUCACUUCUCUUCCUAUCUCUCUCCUCUCUGCCCUCUCUCACCCUCUAACCGAGAAUGGAACACAUUUUGGUCUUCGUCUCUGCGAUACAAGACCUAGAACUAAACCUCUCCUUAUAUAGCCAUAAGGAUCUUCAGAUCUCUUCACCANNNNNNNNNNNNNNNNNNNNCAAUAAUUUUGUUAGCGAGAAUAGUCUUUAAGAGUCUAUUGGGCUAAUGAAAAUUUUAAAAUUUUUUUUGUUAGUGAGAAUUUUCUUUUUAAUUAAUAAAGUUAUUCAUUCUCUGAAAAAAAAAUUAAGAAAUCAAGGACCCGCCAAUGGGGCAAUCUUCCCAAAUCCCGUUAUCUAGUCCCGAGUCCUUUUGCUGAACCUAUUAGGCACUAUAAAACAUUAAAACCUAAUGAUAUUUUGAUAUUUAAGUGUUAUUUUUGCACACGCUUACACGCUUAAGGAUCCUUCUGCAGGUUUCUAGAAUUAGGGAAAUUAAGUAGUACAACUUGUCUUCAUGAUUUGAGUUUAGAUUAUGGUUUUAUAGUCUUCUUCUGGAAACCCCGUACUGAGCAGAUUCUAUUUAGAUUAUAGCAUGAUAACAUCCAACUUUAACCUAAUCACGAACAGAAAAAUUGCAACUUGAUUCUUAGAAAAAUAAAAAUGCAAGCUGGGUUGAUAGCUUUUCUACAGUUAGCACAGCACAACUUGGCUGCAUAGUUCAACUUGGCUGUACAACUAAUGGGAGCUAAUGGCAAAUUCACCAAUGAUAUAAUGAUUUGGUUUCCUAAUGGGAGCUAAUGGCAAAUUCACCAAUGGUAAAUCCAAUGGUUUACCAUGUCUAAAUCAAGAUCAUGAUCUUAUUCUAUACACCCUUAUUGUCACCACCCCUACCCACAUAAUCUAAAAGCUGGAUCUUUCUAUAUCUGGACAUGAUUUUCCAUAUCCCUUUUAUCUUUCAAUCUUUGGUAGCUCCCCGUUCACCAACUUGUCCACUUAAACUAGCUUAAUAGCCCAACUUGUUCAUGAGAUAACUAUUGGAGUUCAGAGUUGAGACCAAGAGGCAUAAAUGCAUAAUUGCGAAAUAUUAUUUGGCAACUUGUAUAACACUUGGGUCCUCAAGCUUUGAAAGUCUACGAGCAAUAAUGUUACGGCACUACGGAAAACUAGAUUGCUUGUGUUUCUCGCACCGAAAGUCCACAUUAGCAUCACAAUUUCAUAAUUCAAACCUUUUACAUUACAGAUAGUUGAUGAUGUUUGACAGAUAGUUGAUGAUGUAUGAAAAUAUAAAGACUAACGUGAUUAAAAUAAAAAAUUAAGAAUCAAACUGAUUUUAAUUCUAAAAUACUAAAAUACAAGAGGUUAGCUCCUGCAGACAAGUAGGGUAUUCACCCACGCCCUGUAGGGCUCGCACGUGUAGGGUCACAGCACACGUGCCGUAGGGUUUACUGUCCACACGAGGCCAAUCAGAUGUGACCAAAACCACACAAUAGCGCCUGUUCUGUUUACUUUUCUUUUGGUUACACAAACUUGACCAGAGAGGGAAAAAGAACCAAGUACUGAUGCAGGUUCUGGAUAAAAGUGGGUCAAUGUUUCAGAAAUAUCUUUGUCAUGUGAGCUGGAUCAUCAAGAGCACCGAAUGAUAUGAAUGCUGGUAACAGUUGUUCUAUGGUAGACAAUAUAAUUCAAAGAAAAUGAUAAAUCAAACUCAGAACACCCAAAAGCAAAAACAGGAAAAUCUCAUAAAUUGACAUAAAAAUUAGAUGAACAUUGAACAGUUUAGACAAUGCCAUCACCAUUAAUUUUGUAUGGCAUGGCAAAAAAGCAGAAGGAAGCUCAACUCUGACCUGCAUAAAAUAGAAAAUCUACAAUUGCCUAAACUGAAAGUAAUUGCUUCAUGCUGAUGAUCCAAGCUGUUCAGAUAUUUUGCCAACAAAUUCUCUAGCAAUCGGUAAAUAGCUCAAUCAGUUUAUCUAGCUGAAAUGCCCGAAUGAUCAUUAGAGGAGACAUCUUGCCCGGAUGUAACCUUUUGCUUCCUGCCCUCCCUUCGCCUACCGGUUACUCCUCCUGGAAUCCUUUCUCUUCCUGGCAUCCCCUUCCCGAUCCUUUGCUGGCUUCCCGCCUGUCUUCACAUUAUCAAUCACAAUUAGAUGAAUAUGAAGCAUAAAAAAUUAAACCGAAGAACAAAAAGGAAAAGGGAGUAGAGUUAUCACAGCAGUAUGGUUAUAUUCUAAAUACAAAAAUGUUUUUCUUGUCUUUGUAAAAUCGGUUCAAAGAUAUUAUAAUGCAAGACUUUAACUGGAAUAACCAUGUUUCUCAUAUAUUCAAGGACAAGCCUUCACCAGCUUCAAAAAGGACACAUAAUAAAUUUGGGCAUCGUAUUGAAACUGAUAACAUUAAGGCAAGAGCACUCACCCCUACACAGAAAUUGUGAAAAUGAGCAUCAAAACCAGAACUGUCCAGGGUUGCGUUGCCAUAAUUCAUUGCGGAGGAAUUACGUUUGUUACUGGGAGUAGAAUUUUCACAGUACAAUGCGUAUGAAGAUGAGGAAGUAGAACAGGAAGUAGGAGGCUGAGAGCAGGAGCUAAAGCCCUCAAUAUCCCCCUGAAACAUUUCUUCAAAGAGCUCCUGCAAUUGUUCGAAGCUCUCUCCUCCAUUUUCCUGUCAGUUACACACAUGGCAAUACUCAAUUGCAGCGGUAACACUAUUUACAAUACUAUCCCAUACUAAAAUGUAAACUAAAACUAGUUGCAGGACUAAAUACUGAAUAAUUCAGCAUAUUAGCAGACGAGAAAAUGAAUGAAACUAACGAAAAUGUGUAAGAAAAUUUCACUAGAGCUGAAACUUGAUCAUCGAAAAAAAAGGGAACUUCAUAAAUCAUCGUCCAUAUGAAAUGUUGAGAUGAACGAUUGUCGACCGUUGAUUGUAUGACCUAUUGAGUCCAACAAGACUGUUAACUAGAGUAUUAAAGAUGGGCCCUUCAAAAGAAACUUUCUAGGAUUUCAACACAAAAGACAUCACCACACCACAAAAAGGAGCUCAUAAAUACGACCCAAAAUAAGAAAAAGGAAGAAAGGAGACCCUAUUCAAAGGGUGAGGUAUUCAGCCUAUUUUAUUUAAUAGAACUAUGGACCCUUUUUUUUUUGAAAGUAAAGAACUAGAACUAGAACUAUAGACCCUUGAAUGCUCAUCAACAUUCUGCUUAAGAAAAAAACCAACCAUUUUUCCUUUUCUCAUGUGCUAUUAGCAAAAGCUUUGGAGUCUCCCUAAAGCAGAAUUAGACUGAUAAAACACUUAAGAUAUUGAAAAAGUCUAAUGCUUUCAUACCAAUUUCCCAUUAUCACAUUCAACAGCUUAUAAACCAUUAUUAUGAUUUAUGAACCAACACCAUUAUGAACUAUAGAGUGCAAGUGUUAUCCUAGGAAACAAGAAAGGUCAUGAAUUUGUGGUAACAUACAUUCGGCUUAGUCUGGCUCAUCAUCACCGCCAUCUCGUUUAAAAAAUCACCCAUUCCCUGCACCAACAUAACAAGCCCAUAAUCAAAAGGAGGCAACACUUCAAAAAGUUCUUGUUUACAUCUAAAUUUCAAGACCAGAAAUUCUUGUGGAUGUGUGCAAUAAUUUGGUGGGUGUAGGAAGAGUUUCCAUUUUCCAAGAUGCAAUUAUAAAAGGCUUACAUUUUCGUCAUCAUCACUUUCAUAAGCUCCUACAUCGUACAGAAACCUCUUGUUGGCGUCGGACAGAACUGUCAAAGCAAAAAGGCAGGGCACAUCUCUCGUGAUUACAUAGAGUACAAAAAUCUCUGUGUUUCUUUAUACAAGAACCUAGAAGUCGAAAUAAAAACAAAAACAAAUUAGUGGGACGACGGAAUUACCAGAAUAGGCUUGUUGAAUGUCCUGAAACUUCUUCUUGGCUUCUUCCACGAACUUUGAAUUUCCUGAGGCAGAGCAACGAUCUGGGUGCCAUAUCUAUAUUCCAACAAAGACAGCUUUCUUAUUCCAAAGCUCAAUAAAUCAAACAAGAACAUACAAAAUUCCCAGACCUCCCAAAAAUCCCAAAAAAACUCAAUGCUUUUCGACCUUUCUAACCUGUAUGAUGUUUCACUCAAAAACCCAAUUUGGUCCCAUUCAAGAACCAAAUGGGACUAAUGACCCUGCACCACACCCAAUACUGAAGAACAGUCAAAACUCAAAAGGUUCAUUCUUUUCAUGAUUUGGCAAGUACCCAGAAGUUAAAUUGAGAGAAAGACUAUUCCUUUAGCUACGACUUAUGAAUUUAACAAGGCCAAAUUCAAUAAAUUGCAAAAUCAAAGUGUUAAAUUCAUAAAAGUGGUAGAGACUCUAACCAGUGCAAGUUUCUUAUAAGCAUUCCUGAGCUCCGAGUCAGAGCAUUCCUUCUUCAACCCCAUAACAGCAUAAAAGUCAUUGCCUUUCUCUUCCAUUCUUCGAUUGCUUAAUUUGAACCAAAAACCAAACUUGGCACAAAGACAAGACCACCAAAACCACAACACAGCUUCUCACCAAAUUUUUCUGGUCGACAAAUUAUGGUACCCAAGAGGUUUUAGCACCUCGCAAUCAUAGAAGAAGGGAAUUUAUAUGCAACCAAACUUGGUCUGCUACUUGUUGGUGAUUUGGAUAUGGAGGAAUGAAUAUUAAACAUGUUUUAGGCCUGGAAGGGAAAGGAACAGGAUCAGCAAGCCUUCCCAAGAAGUCUCCAGAAACCAAUCUAUUAUAAAUAGGUUGUUUGUGAUUCAUUUUAUAUUAGUUGUUCACUCAAGUUGUCUAAAUUAAUAGAUAUUCUUUUAUGAUCUUUGGGGUGGUGAUCGAACGGUGGAGAUUGCAGGGAGUUACGAGAUAUUUUUGCAGUCUGUGUAUCCAGAAGGUUCUGUGUUUCCACUGGAUCCAGAGACUUUCUGACGUCGACGGAACCUCUUUAUGUGAAGAUGAAACUGGGACAGGGGUGGGGGGACCCACUUUCCCCCCGCCAUUGCUUUCCUCGCACACAACUUGUAUAACUCAACUUGCAAAAGUUGACGGUAGGCUGCUACUCUGCUUGGAAUUGGGCUCUGAAUCUCUCCGAUUUUCACUCAUGUGCCAUUUGAAUUUAAUAAAACAAUUAAUAAUAAUAUAAUAUACAAGUAUGAACUUUUGUGCUUGAUGUGCGGUGACACUGACAGAUUACGGUCUAUGUUGUGGACUCUGGACAUGAAUUUUACAAUAAAAAGAGUUCAGAAUUUGAUUUUGCGUUUAUAAGAUAGGGUUGGGAAUCGUUUUCAUGAUUAUAUUUUCGUUUUUAAAAAUUAAAAUAUAAAGUAGGUGGUGGCCCGGAAAAAUACGUUGUUGUUUAAGGGUUAAUUUGGUAUUGACGUGAGAACACUCAAUUUUAUAAAAACUCAGUUUUAUAAAAAUAACAUCUAACAUGUUUUUUAAAAUUGUGGUUAUUUAGCCUAAAAAGUUUUAAAUAAACACUUUAUAAGAUUUUACCAAACAUGAAAUCAAUUCAAAAUAAUGAUUAUAGGUGAUUUUAUACCUCAAACUCAAUACCAAAUUGAGCCUACGUAUGUAUUUACUUGCGUUGUGCUCUUGAAAAAAUUUACGGGUUGAAUGUAUAUGAGGUUUGUUGUUUAUCUCACUUCGUUAAAUAUUUAUAACCAAGCGCAAGCUGAUAUUUCGUAUAACAUGCGUAAUUGUGUGUUUGGUCCACAAAUUAUGAAGGAGAGUGAAAUUUGCUCUCCUCAUUUUACAAUCUACAUUCUUACUUUCCAUUUUUAGUUACAAAUUUCAUAAGAAAAUAAAAUACUUGUUACUAAAGACAAAAUUCAAAGUACUAAAAGAAGAAAUAAUGAGUGUGAAUUGUAAAAUGAGUGCAAAUUUCAUUUACCAUUAUGAAUCAUGAAUGAGUAGAUCCAUGACGCUGCUUCAGGAGUAUGGGUAAAGUGCUUCUGCCUACCACAUACUCAGAUGAGAGGAUUAAACUCGUUGAUUGAUUUUUCCUCAUCUGUAUCCACAUCGAGAGAAUUAUUCUCAACCUCAAAGAGAUUGCACCUCACUCGAAUCACCCUUGGAGCAAAACUCUUCUAACUCAAAUCUUCUUUGACGAGAGGUUUCCUUGUAACCAGAUCCUCCUUGACGAGUUGUUUUCCCCUUGACAAGAAAUAUGUUGAUUUACAAGAUAUUUUCUCCUCAACGAAAUUCAUGGUCGUUGUGUUUACAGGUUUCUAAAAAAUUUACCCACACACAGUCUAUCAGGGAUUUGAAUAUGGGGUGGACUUCUAAAUUUAUUGACGUCCCUUUUUUAAGGGUUUGCCCAAAAUUUUCUGAUUUCUGCAUAGCAUAACAUGUAUAAGAUCAAUGUUUACUAUCGGAUUUGAUUCUAUAUUUUUAUGUAUAACUAAUGAAUAUAUUCCUGUUAAAAAAAAUUGUUAAAUUUGUAACUCUGUACUAUGUAGGCACACUUCCAUGAUUAACAGAGGGCAUUGCUCUAGUGCCCAGGCUGAGUCUUUUUCCUACAGCUUAUCAAGGCCUACUUGUUUGCGGGCUUUUAUACAUCUGGUAUGUUGAGAUCUAUCAUCGGAAGUGGUAUAUAAGAAUGUGAGGUGAUUAGCCGGAGAAGUGGGAGAUGGAGUCGAAGCUCACAGCAGGAGUGGUAGUAGUGUUGCGGUCUGAAACUCUGAUGCACCUUUACUUUGCAAGUUUUUGACACAAGUUUCCCUUCGACUGAUUUUUAGCCCACAGAUAUUCAAGUUGCUACAUCCCUGCAAGAGUACAAUUAUCGACCUUUGCCUAUAAAGCGAUGCGCUCUAGACACAACUUCCCGCCCACUACCAAUUCUGAAGCCCACAUCUCGCAAGAAAGAAGCCCAACAGUUCAGGAUAAAAUCCUUCCCAGAAAUUUUGCUAUGAGAAACUUGGCAGAAAUUUGAGCAUCAAGUAUCUGUGUGGUUGAUGUUUAAGACAUGAAUCUAGACAGCUACUGGUAAUGACUGGUAUCUUCUAAAAGAAAAAAGACAUGAAUCAAGUGGUAGAGUAAUUGCGCACAUUUACAUGGAAUUUUCAACUUUGCCUCAUUCUCUAAUAAGUUCAGACCUCAAAUGAAACAAAGAAUGUUAUUCCAAUUUCCAGCUACAUUUUUUUUUGGCUUACAAGAUGAUCUGAAUCCGAAAACCAUUCACACCAAUCCUGUGACAUUCAUAUUACAGCUGCCCAAGUUAUAUUCCCAAAAGUUCCACUCCUACGUGAACCCUAUUCAGUUAGUUGGUCUCCAUUGGUAUCCACUCCUAGGCCAAAAGCAUCCCCCAAGUUUAUAGUUCUUGUCAUAGUUCUCCUUCCAAUGCCUCCAUUUCCCUUCCUCAUCAUUGCAGCAAACUCUCCAUAAUCUAUCUGCCCAUCAUUGUCCUGAUCAAUCUCUCUGAUCAUAUCCUCCAGAUGCACCUCCCCCAAUCCAAACUCCACACAGGCUUGUGUGAGCUCAUCAAUGGUUAUGAACCCGCUUCCAUCUUUGUCGAAAAAUGAGAAUGCUGACAUCAGAUUCUCCUCCCUCUCCAACUUGUUCAAGUGCACAGUUGCUGCAAGGAACUCACCAUAGUCAAUUGUCCCAUUGUUGUCAAUGUCAGCUGCCUCCAUUAGAUCCUUGAUCUCACUCUCCAUUAGCUCAGACCCAACUUUCCUCAAACCCUCCUUCAGCUCCUCAAAUGUGAUGCUCCCACUAUCAUCUGCAUCAAUCAUCUUGAACAGCUCUCUCAGCCCUCCAAUCUCCUCCUCAGACAGCCUCUCCGCGAUGACCCUCAGCGCCAUCUUCUUCAGCUUGUUCAUUGCAGAGAACUGCUUCAACCUCGAAAGCACAGCCGAAUCCAGAGGCUUAUCCGGAGCAAUGGUGUCGUCUAUGAUCCAAGGGUGGCAAAGCACCUGAUGAGCACUGAUUCUCUUCCUUGGGUUCCUCUCAAGCAUCUUGGCAAUCAAGUCCUUGGCACUGUCGGAAAUCGCAGGCCAUGGUUCGGAUUCAAAAUCCAACCUUGACUGCAGAAUCUGCCUGAAGAUCCCAAUCUCAGUCUCAGCCCAAAACGGAGGCACCCCACUUAACAAAAUAUACAAGAUCACUCCUGCACUCCACACAUCCGACUCAGGCCCGUAGUGCUUGCACAGCACCUCAGGGGCAACAUAGUAAGGACUACCAACAACAUCAGAGAAGACUUCACCUGGCUUGUAGAAAACCGAAAGCCCGAAGUCGGUAGCUUUGAGAGUAGAGUCUUCCUCAUCGUUGUCGAACAAGAAAUUCUCAGGCUUGAGAUCACGGUGCAUGACCCCAAGAGAAUGACAAGUCUCCACGACCCCAACAAUAGUCUUAAUAAGCUUUGCAGCCUCUCUCUCGCUGUAAUGACCCUUUUUCACAAUCCGAUCAAAGAGCUCUCCUCCUUUGCAGAGAUCCAUGACCAAGUGGACCGAGCCAGGGUCUUCAUAGGUGCCUCGGAUUCUGACAACAUGUGGGUGCUCGGACAAAUGGUGCAUCAUCUGAAUCUCCCUCCAGACGUCCUCAUAGUCCUCCUUGCAGAGGAGCUUGCGCUUUGGGAUGGACUUGCAGGCGAAGUCGAGGCCUGUGGACUUGUCAGUGCAGAGGUAGGUGGUGCCAAACUGACCCUGGCCGAGGAUCUUGCCCAAAGUGUAGAGGUCAGUGAGGUUUUGGGUCUGGUAGGGUAGGACCCAUUUGGGGUUGGAUGGUGUGGCCGAGCUUGAUUUCUUCAUUGGUGCAACAACAGAUCUGGAGAUGAUGGGGUUUUGUGAUGGAAGGAAGACGACGACCCAAGAUCAAGAGAGAAAGAGCCAAUAUCACCCUGCAGCAGCCUUUCUUGACUAAGAUUGGGUCUUUGUCUAGUCUCUUGACUCUCUUCCCACGAUGUGCCUCCCCUUAUCACAUUAUACUAGUAAUAUCUUUUCUUUUUCUUUUUUUUUUUUUGGUGAAAUCCAUUACAGUACUAUACUACUAUUUAAGAUCAGCAUUACCANNNNNNNNNNNNNNNNNNNNNNNNNNNNNNNNNNNNNNNNNNNNNNNNNNNNNNNNNNNNNNNNNNNNNNNNNNNNNNNNNNNNNNNNNNNNNNNNNNNNNNNNNNNNNNNNNNNNNNNNNNNNNNNNNNNNNNNNNNNNNNNNNNNNNNNNNNNNNNNNNNNNNNNNNNNNNNNNNNNNNNNNNNNNNNNNNNNNNNNNNNNNNNNNNNNNNNNNNNNNNNNNNNNNNNNNNNNNNNNNNNNNNNNNNNNNNNNNNNNNNNNNNNNNNNNNNNNNNNNNNNNNNNNNNNNNNNNNNNNNNNNNNNNNNNNNNNNNNNNNNNNNNNNNNNNNNNNNNNNNNNNNNNNNNNNNNNNNNNNNNNNNNNNNNNNNNNNNNNNNNNNNUACAAAUUAUACCAAACUAUUAUACUGAUUAUAUAUCUAGGGUUAAUGAAAUAUUGUGGUUUCUUAAAAAUAACCGGAGCAAAAUUCUUGGUGCGGUGUAGUUUCCACGUUAUGCAUAUUCCACUUAUGUAUAAGAGCUAUCACAAAAACAACUUUUAUACAACGAAACAUCUAGUAUUGUAUUCUACCCAAAAUAUAAAUGUUCUAAUUAUUUUGAUUUGUAAGAUUCAGGAUGUAGAAGAAAAGUAAAAAAUGGAAGGCAAAAAAAAUUUGCCGAGAGAAAGCCUAUCUAAAAAAAAUCUAAAUUACCUGUUUUCAAACAAAAAAAAAAAAAAAAAUCACUGUUCAUAUGCCUAUGAUAUGAACAGUCGACCAAGCUUUAGUAAUAGAUAAAUUAGGUCUGAGAAUAAGCGCUCACAGUGUCAGAAUAUGGGAGUCCACUGCUUCCCUUUGGUUUUUUUUUUUAGAAAGCACUGCCGCUGCUUCCUUUGUUUGAAAAAGAGGUUAUAUAUGAAUUCUUGUGAAAGAAAAAGUAAGCUCUCAUCGAUGAUAUUGCUGGUUUUGUUAGGAACAUGAGUUUUAGAUCUAGUAAGACUGGUUAAUUUUGUUUAGUUGUUUUGCUCUGGGUCAUUAGCCUCAUUUGUAACAAAAAAAGAAAAAAAUAUGUGCAUCUCUUUUGUGUAGGUGGAAAUUAAUCGACCAAUUUACCAACAGCGGGGUGGGGUAGCUUAUAUGCACGCUUCUUAAGCAAUUUUUACCGAGUGUGGUGAGUUUUAUUUGUCAAUAGUAAACUCGUAGCUCGUAGCUUGACUGUGUGUUUGGAUGCAAAUGAAUUCCUGGGAAUUUAAUCAAAAAUGAGGAAUUCCCAAUUUCUCUGGACUCUUUUCACCAUUUGGAUUAUUAUCCAGUGGAAUUUGCAAUUUCAACGGGAAAAUAAUCGUGAAAUUUGAGAGCUUAAAUUCUCGACUUGAAUUCCUCACAAAAUAGGGGUCAUUUUCAACGGGAAAAUAAUCGUGGAAUUUGAGAGCUUAAAUUCCCGACUUGAAUUCCUCAUAAAAUAGGCGUUAUUUGUCAAUUCCCUUAACUGAGGUUAGUCUAAAUACUAAUUCUUGUCAUUUUAAAAUUCUACAUCAUGAAAUUCAAACAAUGGAAUUCUCAAUCAAUGGAAUUUUAAUUCCCAUGACUUUGAAAUUUCUAUGGAAAUUUGAAUUGCUUCAUCCAAACACAACGUGAAAGACUUGGUCUACAUUAUUAGUUUAGUAAAUGCUUAAUUUUAGCCUCUCAUUUGGGAAAAAGGUAUGUUGUUUGGUAAAUCAUGUACGCUGUAUGAUUUUUUAUUUUGAAAGAAAGACGGUGUUAUUAUUAGUUGGAGCAAAAUUACACAACAUAUUACCACUAAUUAGGGGAUUAAGGUCAUCUCCAACCUAAAAGGCUAAAAAUAAUUAUGAAGCUAGAUUUUAGCCCUAAUUUUUGCACUAUUAUUGAUUUGACAUCAACCUUCUUCAACCUGUUAGGGUUAAAAACUUAAAAUAUAAUCCUAAAUAAUAUUUUAAGAUUUUGAAUAUGUCAUAUAUAUGUGUGUGCUCAUUUUUUGAAUAUGAUAUUUUCCAUUUUCCAAAAUGUCCUUAACAAUGCCUUUUAGCCCUAAAUAACAACUUAGGUAGGUUGGAGAUGAAAAAGGUGAAAAAUUAAGAUAUUUAUCUUUUUAGCCUUUUAGGUUAGGAGUCCCGUCUAAAGUAAUUUCACCUCUAUUUUAAGUGUUCUUGUCCACAAGUAUAGAAUAUUGAAAUCACCAGAGUGGAUUCUACGCACCAAGAUGCACUUGCAUUAUUAAUGUGCAAGUCCUCAAAUUACCGUAAGCGAAGAUCAAAUGAAGAUUGGUGACCCGAAAUUCCUUCAUUUCAUAUUUAUUUUUGAUCCGAUCAAAUUAAGCACUCAUAUAAGAGAGUAUCUCUUAUUCGACCUUAGGUUCUCACCUCUUAUGUUAGGUCCUCACCUCCUGUCUUGGAAACACUUAGGACUAUUUUUUUUGUUUCAAUUUUGUUAACGGUAUUAGAAUACAUGCAUGAUAAUGCGACAUGGAUAACUGAAUCAAAAUAUUACAUAUUAGUUACUCGAUUCACUUACACCUUGGUGCGUAGAAGAAUUUUUGCUGAAACCACACACUAAAAGACUUUUAACUCAGAGACCUUGAUCAAAUUGUUUGUCAUUAAUUGAGCUCUUUAAGCAUGACUCGGUCGGUGUAUAGCUAGGAUUUUAGUUAUUUUUGGCUAGUACUUGUAGUGUAGCUGUCACGCCCCGGAUUUUAGGAUAGUAUUUUUUUUUUUUCUUUUCCCGAAAAACCCGAGGAGUGAGCUAAAAUAAAAGAUGAGCUAAAGGAAAUGAAAGUAACAAAUGACAGCUUAAAAGAAUCAACUUCUCAUUUCAAUAUAUAUUUGGAUACAACCAAAAUGACUAAGGGUACUCUCUUCCUAAAUGAAGCUCUUACACAUUUAAAACUCCAUCUAACUCUACGUCUUAAUCAUUAAUUGUCGUUGUUCUCCUGUUUCAUAACCUGCAAGACUGUAAAGGGGUGAGCUCAACCUGCGGCUCAGUAGGGAGCUAUUCCUCUCCAAACAAAGAUAAUCAUACAAUGAUCAUAUAAUAUGCAUAAAUGGAUGUUCUACUCUAGUUAAUCCACAUAGAAGAAUAAACUGAGCCUACAUGUCCCAUACCAUAUAUUUUACCAAGAAGGUGACUCAGCAUACUCAACUAUAUGAACAACUUCACCAAAAUCAAUCCCUAGCCCUCUUUUGCUAGUCAUCUUGUCCAUUCCCCUUUCUCCAGUCCCGAAUUACCCUUAUCAUUCCUAUACUAAUUGCACAAUAACCACGGGCAUACUUGGGACAUGGUUCCUGCUGAGGUUUGGACUCAACUACGCAAAAGAUCAAUUUCAUAUUCCCUUCACCACCCUUAUCCUUCAAAUAUCUUUACUGAAUGAUGCAUCAAACUAUAAACAACUCAUACUUUAAACAUGUAAUUUUAUCAAAUACCCAAGCAUUCCAAACAAACAUAUCAAACAACAUAUAUGCACACAAUACGAAUGAGUAGAGGUUCCCCAGAUCCCCAUACCUUGAUUCCAAGCUAUUGCCAAUGUACAUGUCCCUGCAUAGAAAUAGAUAUCCGAAUACAAUUCACAAUCCUAUCCAUAAGCACACAUUUAAUUUUAAAUACAAAGCUAUCGUAUGGCUUAAGAAUAUACUUUGCUUUAAAACAUAAGUCUCAAAAACAUAGUACCUAAAAUCUCAGGCCAUUAAGAUAACAUUUGACGUGCUAAAAAACUAAGCAAAAUGUGACGCAUGUUUAUUUUGAAGAAAAAUUGUUACACAUAGUUGAUUUCAAAAUGGCAUAAGUAUCUCAAAUAAAUUUGGAAGAUAAUGUCACAAGCUUUGUUUGAAAGUUGAGAAUGUGUGUGUUCAGUUUGUGGUGAAUCUAAACAAGUUUGAAUGAAAGAAACCAUUGAAAACAAAACGAACAAAUUAACAGUAAAAUAGUAACAAAUGCAGAAACCAUUUAAAGUUGACCUUCAACUUCAAAAAUUCAUAACUUAAUGUACAUAAACCAUUUUCAGGAGAUUUCAGUUCUGAAAUGAUCACUAAGAUGUCUACCAAAACUUUUGUGAAAACACAAACUGCAAAUACUGAACCAAAACGUACAGGUUUUAAUAGAAAGGUUACUUGGUCCAAAACUUUUUUUUUUGAAACAUGGACGUAAAGCCUUUGAUAUUGCAACGAAAAGAAGCAGUUACAACAUGACUUACCCGCAAGGGCAACGAUAGAAAAAGCCAUGCUAGAUAGCCCGAAAGCAACCUAAAUGAAACUACUAUGGAGUUCACUUGGUCCAAAACUUGGAAAACUGAUUUGCAGAAAUUUCCUGAUGCAGAACCUUAAUUUUGAAAAAUCAUAACUUAAUCUACAAAACUCCUUUUUAAGAGAUUCAAAUUCAGGAAUGAUGUUUAACAUGUGUACUAUAACUUUUAUGAAGACAAUAACUUCAAAUACUCAACUGAAAUGCACAGGUUUUAGUAAAAAUGCAGCUGGGUCAAAAACACAGAAAACUGAUCUGCAGAAUUUCUUACUGAAGACCCUGGACUUUGAAAAAUCAUAUCUUGAUCUAAAGAAAUCCUUUUGAAGUGAUUCAAAUUCUGGAAUAAUAUUUAAGAUGUCUGCUACAACUUUUAUGAAGAAACAAACUUCAAAUAACCAACCUAAAUGUACGGUUUUUAGAAAUCAAGGUGACUGACUCCAAAAUACAAGAAAGCUGAUUUGCAGAAUGUUCAGAUAUGUUUUCAGCUUCUAACUUGACUAACGAAUUCUAAAUGAACUUGCAUGAAACUACCCAGAUAUCAAGCUAAGAAUAUGACAUUUCAAUACAUGCAAAUGAUUUCUAAAAUGCAUGAUUAAUUCAAAACAUAUGGCUGCUCAAAGUUAACUAAAUGAACAAGUUACAGAAACUUUUCCAUUCAAAUGUCACUUCAGUUCAUGCAAAGUCUAACGUUCUUAAUCAGUUCUAUGGAUGUUUAUACUCAUAUAGGUUUCUUAGUCACUCUAAGCUCUUGCUGUGCAAGAGAAAACUAGAAUCUCUAAUUCAAACAGCAACACUGAAAUUACUCAGGACACCCAAACUGGCAGAACUAAAGUUCUAUAAUCAUCUUUAUCAGUUUCUAUUUUGUUUGGAAAAGAAUAAAGCUACUAUAUGAACUCAAAUGUAUCAAAAACUACUGAUUAUUGAAUAUAGACACUACAAUGUUUCAGAAUGAAGAAACAACCCAAAUAUUGCACUAAAAAGACUAGCUUAAAUUACCACAAAGACAACCAAUAAAAAGUAGCGCAAUAGUCUAAACUUCUAUAUUUUUAAGUAACUUUAUACAACUCCGGUCCUUGGUUUCUACUUUCAAAAUUUAUGAAUUAAAGACAUAAAUAGGAACACCAAUAUCAGAUAUCUAUAUCAGCAUAAUUUCAUAACAUAACAAAAAUUAAAAGAAAAGAGUACAACUAAAACAAUAAAAGUCUGACAGCAAGAUUUCCUGACCAGUAAACUUUCAGACUGAAAACGACAUAGUUUGGCUGAGCAAUUACAGUUGGUGUCUUCAUAACAUUUGUAAAAGACAACCUAAAGAUCAUUUGAGAACUGGAAUCGCAGAAAAAGGAUUUUUCUACAAUUACUUAUGAUUUUUCGAAAAUCAGAUACAGUAGAGAAAAACUGCUAUGAUGUAAGUCUAUAUCUCAUGUUCUAAGUAAAGGGUUUAAGACUGAGAUUUUAACAACAACAACAACAUCAUCAUAUACUUGAUUCUCUAGCCGUUAAUAAUAUAUAAGAACUGAUUUGGCUAACAAAGAAAUCAAAUUAAAGGUGACCAAAACCAAAGGAUUUAGUAUUCCUAUUUGCCACAGAAUUCAACAACAACAAAACCAAAACCAAUUCUUAAUAGGAACUAUUCCAAUCAAAUAAACAAUCAUACAAAGAUUCCAAAGUGAUGUCAAAUUCUAAAUUCACAAACUAAGAGCAUAUAAACACAAUCAAUUGGUUUGAACAUAAAGAGAAUCUAACCUGAGUUCUACCAAUUUCCUACAACACCAAUUUCUCUUCUCUACUCUCUCUCUCUCUCUCUCUAUCAGUGAACUCAAAGAAAACAUAUGGAAAACUCUGAAUACUAAC